rnacentral:lncRNA from 1 species
GUUUUUUUUUUUGUGUUGGUUGCUUAUUUUGAUGAAACUAUGGAUAGUAUCGGGGGUAUUAGCCAUGGAAGAUUGAAAAUACAGUAACCCAACAUCAACAUAAGUAGAAUUCAAGUUUGCUACAGUACGUAAGGAAGUGGUGGUUUGCUUUCUUAUACUAAUGUUAUCACGAUUUUCUGUUUAAGUUUCGUGUUGUGAAGUUUUCAAGUUUUGGGUGAAGUUCUUAUGGACAAAAAGAUAAAGAGUGGCAAUAGAUCAAGCUUGGGGAUGCCCAAGGCAACCCAAGAUGAUUCGAGGAUGCCGUAAAAGCCUAAGCUUGGGGAUGCCCGGGAAGGCAUCCCCUCUUUCGUCUUCAAUCCAUCGGUAACGUUACUUGGGGCUAUAUUUUUAUUCACCACAUGUUAUGUGUCUUGCUUGGAGCGUCUUGUAUCGUAGGAGUCUUUUAUUUUUGUUGCGUCACAAUCAUCCUUACUGCACACCUAGAGAGAGAGACAUGCACUCACCGUGAUUUUGUCGAGCUUCACUUAUAUCCUUUGGUUAGACAAUUCAGCUCACAUGUGCUUCACUUAUAUCUUUUGAGCUAGUUGAUUUUGCUCUAUGUGCUUCACUUAUAUCUUUUAGAGCACGGCGGUGCGUGGCUUUGUAGUUGAUCUAUGCUUUGAAAGUAGUCUCAAAAGGGGUAGUUAUCCAAAGGGAUACGAAAACGUCCACCUUCAUGUGCAUUGAAUAGUUAGAGAAGUUUGAUUCAUCUCAACUAGUUUUGAGCUGUGGUUAUGGUAAUAUUGAAGCUAUGCUAGUAAGGUGUUGUGGAUCUAGAAAUACUUGUGUUGAAGUUAGUGAUUCCCGUAGCAUGCACGUAUGGUGAACCGCUAUGUGAUGAAGUCUGAGCAUGAUUAGUCUAUUGAUUGUCAUCCUUUGUGUGGCGGUCGGGAUCGCGCGAUGGUUUAUACCUACCAACCCUUCCCCUAGGAGUAUGCGUUGAAUGCUUUGUUUCGAUUACUAAUAAAACUUUUGCAACAAGUAUAUGAGUUCUUCAUGACUAAUGUUGAGUCCAUGGUUUAGAUGCACUUUCACCUUCCACCAUCACUAUCUUCUUUAGUGUCGUGCAACUUUCGCCGGUGCACAAAACCCACCAUUAGCCUCCCUCAAAACAGCUACCAUACCUACCUACUAUGGCUUUUUCAAAGUCAUUCCGAGAUAUAUUGCCAUGCAACUACCACCAUGACAUGUGCUACCACGUCUACAUUGCCAUUGCAUGAUCGUAAUAUAGCUAGCAUGAUGUUUCCAUUAAUGUCCAUGCCAUGCUAGAUCAUUGUCACGGUACACUACCGAAGGCAUUCCAUAUAGAGUCAUUGUUGCUCUAAGUUUUGAGUUGUAAGUGUGAUGAUCAUCAUUGAUGGAGCAUUGUAUCAUGUGAGGAAAUAAAAGAGGCCAAAUAUUCCCACCAAAAUAAAAAAAAUAAAAANUGCUACCACUUUUCCACACUUGUGCAUAUUAAGCACCAUGAUCUUCAUGAUUGAGAGUCUCUCAUUUUGUCACCACCAUUAAGCUAGUGGGAAAUUUUCAUUAUAUAACUUGGCUUGUAUAUUCCAAUGAUAGGCUUCCUCAAAUUUGCCUUAGGUCUUCGUGAGUAAGCAAGUUGGAUGCACACCCACUAGUUUUUUUAAGAGCUUUAACAUACUCUUAGCUCUAGUGCAUCAUUUGUAUGGCAAUCCCUACUCAUUCACAUUGAUAUCUAUUGAUGAGCAUCUCCACAGCUCAUUGAUAUGCCUAGUUAAUGUGACCAUCUUCUCCUUGUUUUUCUUGCAACCUCCACCACACUCCACACCACUUAUAGUGCUCAAAUCAUGGCUCACGCUCAUGUAUUGCGUGAGGGUUGAAAAAGUUUGAGAAAGAAAGGUGUGAAAACAAUUACUUGGCCAAUAUAGGGGUUGUGCAUGAUUUAAAUUUGUUGUGCAAUGAUGAUAGAGCAUAGCCAGACUAUAUGAUUUUGUAGGGAUAACUUUCUUUUGGCCUUGUUAUUUUGAAAGUUCAUGAUUACUUUGCUAGUUUGCUUGAAGUAUUAUUGUCUCCACAUUAAUAGCAAACUAUUGUUUUGAAUCUAAUGGAUCUGAACAUUCACGUCACAUAAGAGGAGUUACAAAGGACAUCUAUGCUAGGUAGCAUGAAAGCAUCAAAAAUUAAUUCUUUAUCACUUCCCUACUCGAGGACGAGCAGAAGUUAAGCUUGGGGAUGCUUGAUACGUCUCAAACGUAUCUAUAAUUUUUGAUGGUUUCACGCUGUUAUCUUGUCAACUUUGGAUGUUUUGUUUACCUUUUAUAUCUUUUUUGGGACUAACUUAUUAACUAAGUGUUUUUGACUCUUUUCAGAUCUGAUUUUGGAACGGAGUCCAAACGGAAUAAAAUCCCCAAAAUGAUUUUUUCCAGAACGGAAGAAGAUCGGGAGGCUUGAGGGCCAAGCAAGUGGGCCCACAGGGAGCCCACAAGCUGUCUUGUCGCGGCCAGGGGGAGGCCGCAGCAACCAAGCUUGUGGCCUCCCUGGCGCCCCCCUGCCCUAGGUCUUUGGCCUAUAAAUUCCCUAAAAAUCCAGAAAAAAUCAGGGCGUCCACGAAAACACUUUUCCGCCGCCGCAAGCUUCCGUUUCCGCGAGAUCUCAUUUGGAGACCCUUCCCGGUGCCCUGCCGGAGGGGACUUUGGAGUUGGAGGGCUUCUUCAUCAACAUCAUCGCCCCUCCAAUGACCUGUGAGUAGUUCACUUCAGACCUACGGCUCCAUAGUUAGUAGCUAGAUGGCUUCUUCUCUCUCUUGGAUCUUCAAUACAAAGUUCUCCAUGAUCUUCAUGGAGAUAUAUCCGAUGUAAUUCUCCUUGGCGGUGGGUUUGCCGAGUUCCGAUGAAUUGUGGAUUUGUGAUCAGAUUAUCUAUGAUAUAUAUUUGAGUCUUUGCUGAUUUCUUAUAUGCAUGAUUUGAUACCCUUGUAAGUCUCUCCGAGUCUUGGGUUUUGUUUGGACAACUAGAUCUAUGAUUCUUGCGAUGGGAGAAGUGCUUGGUUUUGGGUUCUUACCAUGUGGUGACCUUUCCUAGUGACAGUAGGGGCAGCAAGACACACAUCGUGUAGUUGCCAUCAAUGGUAACAAGAUGGGCUUUGUCGUAGAUAUGAGAUUGUCCAUCUACAUCAUGUCAUCUUGCUUAAGGCUUUACUCUGUUCUUUUGGACUUAAUACACUAGAUGCAUGCUGGAUAGCGGUCGACAUGUGGAGUAAUAGUAGUAGAUGAAGAAAGUAUCGGUCUACUUGUUUUGGAUGUGAUGCCUAUAGAUAUAAUGAUUGCCAUAGAUAUUGUCACGACUUUGCGCGGUUCUAUCAAUUGCUCGACAGUAAUUCAUUCACCCACUGUCUACUUGCUUUCAUGAGAGAAGCCACUAGUGAACACUACGGCCCCCGGGUCUAUUCACACCUAUCGUUUCCACUUUUGCUUUUACUUUGCUUUGUUACUUUGUUGAUUUCAGUUCUCAGUUGACAAACAAUCUAUAAGGGAUUGACAACCCCUUCAUAGUGUUGGGAGCAAGCUCUUUGUGUUUGUGCAGGCACUUGUGAUACUUCUUCACUGGAUCGAUACCUUGGUUCUCAAAACUAAGGGAUAUACUUACCACCGUUGCGCUACAUCACCCUUUGCGCUUCGAGGGAACACCAACGCAAGGCUCCAAGGCCGCGGGGAAAUCCUUUGCAUAUUUGCCUAGGAAGUCCCUAAAGGCGUAGCCGUAGCAGAAGGAUUUCUGGUGCCGUUGCUGAGGAGUAAAGAACAGUCUACCGUAAGCACUGUUUCUGACGCUGUUGGAAGGUCUUUUGUUGCUGUAGCAGAUGACAACACAUCAUUGAUUAAUAAUAUGUGGCAUGAAACACCAUGUUCGAGUAAGGGAUUACAUCGGGGUGCGGGAGAUUGGACCACCAUAGAUAGAUGAGGGAAGGUGACGGAGACGGUGAUGUUGAUGAAGACGAUCACCGCGACGAUGGUUCCUCCGACGACACUAUGGCGUCGCUGGAAGAGAGGGGAGAGAGCCUCCCCUCUGGUCCUUGGCCACCAUGGAUCCCGGAGGGGCAAGAGCCCCUCCGAGAUUGGAUCUCUCUCUAUUUCUCUCCUGUUUUUGCGACUGUUUUCUCUUCAAGUUAGAUUUUCGUCGAUACAGAGAGUUGUGACGGUGAAGCGAAAGGUCUCUCUUUAUUUCUGGAGUUUCUAGUAUAUAUAGGAUUUUUCAGCGUUGGAAUCACGCCAAACGGAUCCACGUGAGCCCCAUAAGCCAUCACACCACGACCUAGGGGGGUUGUUGGCUUGUGGCCCAGUGGUGGCUCCCCUUCGAUGGUUAUUCACUCCAAUAAUGCUUAUUUCCUCCAGAAAAAUUAUAUAAAAGUUUCGGAGGAUUUCGAGAACUUUCAUCUUGUGCAAAAAAACAACACCACGGUAAUUCUGCUGAAAACAGCGUCAGUCCGGGUUAUUUCUAAAUAAAUCAUAUAAAAUGCAUCAAAACCAUAUAAAAACAUUGUAAAUAUAGACAAACACGGCAUGAAUACUUUAUAAAUUAUUAAUACGUAUCACGUGUCACUCACGCCCUUGGAUUCGACGACACCGAUGCGACACAUGUCGUCCAUCACAAACUCCAUCCGAGCGGCACCCCUUUGGUGACCACCACCAUCACUGCUCCACAUCACCAUACAUGACGUUGACACAACAGCCAAACACCACCCCUGCCUGGGCGAGCAAAUCAACGAUCACAAAACAAAAAUGCUACAUCUACGUAAAGCUUUACUAAUCCUUACGUAAUCUUCACAUAACUAAUCUCAUCGCCCCCCUGAUUUCAGUGGAGUGGACCCCCCGCCCUAAUUUCAUCCAAACAGAAACUGUCAUCUCGGCUCUUACAUUAAAUCACGUAGCACCCUUACGUAGAUGUAGCAUUCCCGAUCACAAAAAGGGGGUCUGGAAACGGCACAACGUCGACACCUCAACCCCGUCGAGCUGCCAUGGCCCGGGCCCACAAGCACAACCCGCUUCCGCAUCCUCCAGCGUGGACACGCAUGUACAACCACCGGACACCGCCCACUCGGGGAGGACCACCACGUGCUCACUCGAGCACUUGCGCAGAUCCUGCCACCAGCGGGCUUUCCCGAAAGCCGUGAACUGACGACCGUGAGGCCUUGUUUGGUACUAGGUUUUUGAGGGAAUUGAUGGAAAUAAUCCCCAUAGGGAUUUGAUGAAACCCCAACCUUCACCCAAUCCAUUCAAAUCCCCAUUUAUCUCCAAUCCAUUAGGUAGGGGUGGUGUAUUAGGUAUUAAGAAAAAUGCAUCAGAAUUUGAGGAUUUGUAAGGAAAUGUGGGGAUAUAACAUGUCAAAUACACUAGAAUCGAAUGAUGUUAUGGGAUAUAUGUGAAUUUAGGAAUUUGACCGAAAUAAUCCCCACUAAUUUUCUAAAAUACACUAGUAUCAAACACGGCUUGUGGUGUGGUUGCGAGGGUCACUUGUGUCCGCCCGAGCAGCUCGUAAGGAGCAACACGGUGCAUCGCUUGUAGCAAAAAUCUAGAUGUAAUGUAAUUUUUUUUUCAUGUAGAAGUACAUCAUCUAAUACACAUGCUCUAGGUGUUAGUCUUGUUCGAUGAGAUACUUUUUACUAGAAAGAAAAAUUGUGUACCUAUUCGGUUUUUUACUUUCAACUAUUGCGUGCCUAGCGCAGGUUUGCACAUAACAGAGACACAAAUUAAUAUUUAGAAAAGCAAAAGACAAUAGGACUUCAGUAUGGAGUGGCGCCACAUAUUAGUCUUUCCGUGCAACGGCUCACUUCUAUCCAUUCCUUAUAUGCAUGCAACAUUACGCAAGUAUGACAUCAUUAAAUAUUAAUAUUUAGAAAAGCAAAAGACAAUAGGACUUCACUAUGGAGUGGCGCCGCAUAUUAGUCUUUUUGUGCGACGGCUCACUUCUAUCCAUUCCUUAUAUGCAUGCAACAUUACACAAGUAUGGCGUCAUUAAAUAUAUCUUUAAUUUUGCAUUUAAAAAAGAUUUAUCUCUUAAACCAUUAUCUCAAUUAAUAAUCCGCUUUCAACACUGACUUUUUCGCGACAAAAUCUUCAAAACUAGAUCCCAUGUCGACAUGUUACGAUAACUUUAGUUUUCGCCGGUACUUGACAGAUUACUAUCACUUGUCACAUUAUUUGUCACAUAGUUCUGACAUUAAAUCAACUUGAUUAUCAGGUGUAUGAAUGUUGAUAUACCCCACUAAAAAACUUGAUUCAUUGUAUUUGUGCUGGUUCAUGCAUUCACUUGUCUAUUGUUAGUGCUUUAAUACCCACUUUUUAGAUUGACAUAACAUUCCAAUGUUUUAAAAGUAUAAAAAUAUUGUCCUGAUAACUAUGUAUAAUUUUUGUGACAACUAUACACUCGUAAGAUAACAACUAUGAUGACAUAAAUAUGGUAACUAGGAACGAUGAAAAAAAAUCAACGAAACAUGUCAACAUGAAAUCUUAUUUUGAAGGUCUCAUCGAGACGAACCUAACUGUUAAAACGAAUAUUGAAUCAAAUUAUUAAUCUGUGAGAUAAAUCAUUUUUAAAAUUCACUAAAGCAUUUAAUGCGAUGAUGUAAGCAUGAGGUGGAAGAUUCUUGCAUGCGCACGGGGUUGCACGAGCACUGCAUGAGAGAGUUAUGAUGUGGCGCUUCUCCUUAAAAUUUUCCAAGACAAUAGGACAAUUGAAUGUAAAAUGCAACGGGGUUGCACGAGCACUGCAUGAGAGAGUUAUGAUGUGGCGCUUCUCCUUAAAAUUUUCCAAGACAAUAGGACAAUUGAAUGUAAAAUGAUCAGUAAAAAGUAAAAAAGUAUAUUGAAAUGGAUAUUGGUCUUCUUCUACCUUCGACGUCGCUGAUUCAAAAUUGUAGUGUCCCAAGAGUAAAGGAACACUUUAAAGGCAAUAAUAGCCACCGUUCCCUUGAGACGAGAUCUAUAAAAAGUUGAAACAACCAUUGGAGCAUCGCCCCACACUGACACAUGUUUGCAUCCCAUCAUCACUUAUUUAAGGACGCAACUUUAGUAACUUUAUGAAGUGAAGUCACGUUGCGCCUUAGCCCCCAACAUCCACCACCCAUUCCACAACCAACACUCAGGAUUUUUAAGAGCCCUCAUUUGAUGCUUUACAAAAUUUCAGUCAAAAAUUGUACACUGAAUGUUGAAUGUUUGUAAAAUUCAAUGUUACGUUGUUCAUUUUUUCCUUCCUUGGUUGGUUCAGAAUGUCAAUGUUUUAUGCUUUAAAAAAUCCAGUGAUAUGCUAUAGAUGAUACUUAAAUGCUUGAAGUUCAUUUUUUCCUUGUCUAAUGGAAUUAGUUUUUAUAUUUUACAACCGUUUUAGUUCUUCGUUUCAUAUUAUAUCUGGUGAUCAAAUAUUUUCUGUGUGAACAUAUUCAGGAUGGUGUGUCCCGUGUGUUGGGACACAGUUUAUGCCUAAGUAAUUUUGGUGAUUGAUGAUAGUACCGCAAAGGACUAAUCAUGUGUGUUAAGAUUUCAGAUAACACACGUCAACGACACAAGACGACUCGCCCCCCCUCUUUCGUGGAACAGAAGCACGGUGUUCUCUACGAUUCUCUUUAUUUGAGUCAUAGGAAAGCCGUACUAUUAAGAGGGGAACCGUAGUGGAAAGGUUUGGGUGGAAUCAAUCUUGCACGCGCAAACUUCACCUCUUUUCCCCCUUGCCGGCAACUUUGGAGUGGCUCCCGCCUUGGUGUUUCUUUCUUCUUUGCAAAUGAUCCCCCAACGGUAGUACCGCUGGGCCUAGCGGUAGUACCGCUGGAGUGCUAGCGGUAGUACUGCUGCCGCCAGCGGUAGUACCGCUCCAGGAGCUUAGUACCGCAUGCCUAGUGGUUGUACGUGGACGGACCUUUUUGCGAAGACUUUCUUGGCGGUACUACCGCUGCAGCCAGCGGUAGUAUCACUGCAGCGAGUGGUAGUACCGCUGGAGUGCUAGCGGUAGUACCGCUAGGCACGGGCCGUGAGUGGGAAAACGGUUGGAUUUUCUCCUCCACUAUAUAAAGGGUUCUUCUAGCUGUGGAACCCUAUCUCUUACCCUCCCAAGCUCCAUUGUUGCUCCCUAAGCUCAAAAGUGUCCGAUCUCUCUCCCUAGCCAAUCAAACUUGUUGAUUCUUUAGGGAUUGGUUGAGAAGCCUAGAUCCACACUUCCGCCAAGAGAAAAGUUGAUUCCCCCACCAAUCCCUUGCGGAUCUUGUUACUCUUGGGUGUUUGAGCAUCCUAGACGGUUGAGGUCACCUCGAAGCCACAUUCCAUUGUGGUGAAGCUUCGUGGUCUUGUUGGGAGACUCCAAGCUUUGUGUGGAGUUUGCCCCAACCUUGUUUGUAAAGGUUCGAUCUCCGCCUCCAAAGGGCACCUAUAGUGGAAUCACGGUACCUUGCAUCGUGUGAGGGCGUGAGGAGAAUACGGUGGCCUUAGUGGCUUAUUGGGGAGCAUUGUGCCUCCACACCGCUCCAACGGAGACGUACUUCCUGUCAAAGGCAAGGAACUUCGGUAACACAUCCUCGUCUUCAUUGGUUCCACUUGUGGUUAUCUCUAACCUUUACUUUGUGUAUGCUUAUGUUGUUGUCUUUCUCUUACUUGUCUUAGUAGCUCUCGUUGUUAGCAUCAUUACGGUUCAGCCCAUUGUUGUUAUAUUUGUGAACCCGUAUGUUGUUUGCCCUAACUUGCUAAGAUUAAUUAAAAAGUGGUCGUUGCCUAUUCACCCUCCCCCCUCUAGUCAACCAUAUCGAUCCUUUCACCAUGCAUCCUUGCAAGACGGAAACUAUUAAGUUUGUUUUUUUUGACUUGCAUGAAUCGUGAACGUUGGAUGUAGAAUGAGUGGUGGAUGUUGGGUGUAAGGCGCUGCAUGAAUUCACUUCACAAAGUCAUUGAAGUUGCGUUUCUUAUUUAGAGGAUCAGAAAAACCGGAUCAAGACACAAACCAACACAGCAGAAGAUGUCGAAGCCGUCACACCAAUAGCCUUUGUUGAAUAUAUAUUUAUGUAUGUAUAUUGUGUCAUAGGCCCACCUUCUAGUUCCUUCUAUAGGUGAGAUAGAGGCCCAUCUUGUACCUAUAUAUACGUUCCUAGUGCACACAAUCAAUAUUGAGUGUUGCACAAUCCAAACCUAAUUCUCUAGCAUCUUCGGAUGUCUCUGCUACCCUAGCAUCGUCUCUACUGCACCCCAUAAGCUUGUCCCUCGCUCCGUCGCCUACAUCUUCCUUGGCUACCCAUCCAACACCAAAAGGACACCACUGUUAUGAUACCGUUUCCCACCGUGUCAUCACCUCGCGGCACAUUUACUUUGAUGAGAAGGUGUUUCCAUUUCAGCACGUACCUGUAGCUGUCGCAUCACCGUCGGCCACCGACGGCCCUUCGACACCUUCCUCUGGUGGACGGCCUCGGUUGGCCCUUGGACCACCGCCAGGUUUCGGCGCUACUCGCGUCGUGGACCAGACUGCCGACCAUGGAUUCAGACUCCGGGUCGGCCGGCUCCUCCGGAGCUGUAACCGACUCCUCCACGGUCGGCUCCUCCGCAGUCGGCCCAUCUGUCGCCGACUCCUCCACAGCCGGUACAUCUACAGCCUGCCCCUCUGCGACCGGUCCCUCUGCAGCUGGCACAUCUGCAGCCGGUCCGUCUCCACGCGACCCCUCUGCAGCCGGAUCCUCUGCUCCCGGUUCUUCUGCGACCGACCACUCAUCAGCCACCCCCUCUGCAGUCGGCCACCCAUCAGCCGGCUGAUGGGUAACGUAGCAUAAAUUCAAAAAAAUCCUACGCAUAUUCAGAUGUUCCUAUGGAGAGACCAGCAACGAGAGAUGGGUGAGUGCAUCUGCAUAGCUUUGAAGAUCGCUAAGCGGAAGCGUUGCUAGAACGCGGUUGAUGGAGUCGUACUCGCGGCGAUUCAGAUCGCGGUGUGAUUCCGAUCUAGUGCAGAACCACGACACCUCCGCGUUCAACACACGUGCAGCCCGGUGACGUCUCCCGCACCUUGAUCCAACAAGGAGGAGGGAGAGGUUGGGGAAGAUCUCCUGCAACACGACGGCGUGAUGUCGAUGGAGAGACGAGGUCUCCCGGCAGGGCUUCGCCAAGCACCCUGGGAGAGGAGGAAGAAGGGGACAGGGCUGCGUCGAGGGAGAUAGAAAACGGUGUGUAAAACGGCCCCAAAACCGCCACUAUAUAUAAGAGGAGGGGAGGGGGUGCCACCCCUAGGGUUCCCACCCUAGGUGGUGCGGCAGCCCCCCAGAUGGGAGGUGCGGCGGCCAGGGCAGGGGGAGGGGUUGGCGCACCCCUAGGUGGGCCUUAGGCCCACCAGCGCCUAGGGUCCCCCCCUCUCCACCUCCUGCGCCUUGGGCCUCCUUGUGGGAGGCGCACCAGCCCACUUUGGGCUGGUUGCCCUCCCUCUUUUGGCCCAUCCUACCUCUUGGGGCUGGUGGCCCUCCCGGUGGACCCCCGAGACCAUUACCGAUGGUCCCGGUACAUUACCGGUGACGCCCGAAACAUUUCCGGUGUCCAAAACCAUCCAUCCUAUAUAUCAAUCUUUACCUCCGGACCAUUCCUGAGCUCCUCGUGACGUCCGGGAUCUCAUCCGGGACUCCCAACAACUUUCGAUGACCUCGUAUAACAAUUCCCUAUAACCCUAGCGUCAUCGAACCUUAAGUGUGUAUACCCCACGGGUUCGGGAGACAAGUAGACAUGACCGAGACACCUCUCCGGCCAAUAACCAUCAGCGGGGUCUGGAUACCCAUGGUGGCUCCCAUUUGCUCCACGAUGAUCUCAUCGGAUGAACCAUGAUGUCAAAGAUUCAAUCAAUCUCGUAUACAAUUCCCUUUGUCUUUCGGUAUAGAACUUGCCCGAGAUUCGAUCGGUAUACCUAUACCGUGUUCAAUCUCGUUGCCGGUAAGUCUCUUUACUCGUUCCGUAGCACGUCAUCAUGUGACUAACUUCUUAGUCACAUUGAGCUCAUGAUGAUGUUCUACCGAGUGGGCCUAGAGAUACCUCUCCGUCACGCGGAAUGACAAAUCCCGAUCUCGAUUCAUACCAACCCAACAGACACUUUCAGAGGUACCCGUAGUGCACCUUUAUAGUCACCUAGUUACGUUGUGACGUUUGAUACACCCAAAGCACUCCUACGGUAUCCGGGAGUUGCACAAUCUCACGGUUGAAGGAAAAGACACUUGACAUUAGAAAAGCUUUAGCAUACGAACAAUACGAUCUAGUGCUAUGCUUAGGAUUAGGUCUUGUCCAUCACAUCAUUCUCCCAAUGAUGUGAUCCCGUUAUCAAUGACAUCUAAUGCCCAUGAUCAGGAAACCAUGAUCAUCUAUUGAUCAACGAGCUACCAACUAGAGGCUUGCUAGGGACACAUUGUGAUCUAUUUAUUCACACAUGUAUUACUGUUUCCUGUUAAUACAAUUAUAGCAUGAACAAUAGACGAUUAUCAUGAACAAGGAAAUAUGAUAAUAACCAUUUUAUUAUUGCCUCUAGGGCAUAUUUCCAACAGUCUCCCACUUGCAGUAGAGUCAAUAAUCUAGUUACAUUGUGAUGUAUCGAACACCCAUAGCAUUAUGGUGUUGAUCAUGUUUUGCUCGUGGAAGAGGUUUAGUCAAUGGGUCUGCGACAUUCAGAUCCGUAUGUACUCUACAAAUCACUAUUACUCCACUCUGGACAUGGUCCUGGAUGGAGUUGUAGCGGCGUUUGAUGUGCUUGGUCUUCCAGUGAAACCUGGGCUCCUUGGCUAUGGCAAUGGCCCCAGUGUUAUCACAGAAGAGCGUCAUUGGACCCGACGCGCUUGGAACCACUCCAAGGUCAGUGAUGAGCUCCUUCAUCCAAAUUCCUUCAUGAGCCGCUUCUGAAGCAGCUAUGUACUCCGCUUCACAUGUAGAUGUUGCCACGACUUCUUGCUUGUUGCUGCACCAGCUCAUUGCCCCAUCAUUCAAAACAUAUAUGUAUCCGGUCUGUGACUUAGAGUCAUCCGGAUCUGUGUUGAAGCUAGCGUCGACGUAACCCUUUACGACGAGCUCUUCGUCACCACCAUAAACGAGAAGCAUCUCAUUAGUCCUCUUCAGGUACUUGAGGAUAUUCUUGACCGUUGUCCAGUGUUCCAUACCGGGAUCACUUUGGUACCUCCCUACCAAAAUUAUAGCAAGGUUUAUAUCAGGUCUGUGUUGGAAUUAUGCCCUAGAGGCAAUAAUAAAUAUAGUUAUUAUUAUAAUUCCUGUAUCAAGAUAAUCGUUUAUUAUCCAUGCUAUAAUUGUAUUGAAUGAAGACUUAUAUACAUGUGUGGAUACAUAGACAAAACACUGUCCCUAGCAAGCCUCUAGUUGGCUAGCCAGUUGAUCAACGAUAGUCAGUGUCUUCUGAUUAUGAACAAGGUGUUGUUGCUUGAUAACUGGAUCACGUCAUCAGGAGAAUCACGUGAUGGACUAGACCCAAACUAAUAGACGUAGCAUGUUGAUCGUGUCAUUUUAUUGCUACUGUUUUCUGCGUGUCAAGUAUUUGUUCCUAUGACCAUGAGAUCAUAUAACUCACUAACACCGGAGGAAUACUUUGUGUGUAUCAAACGUCGCAACGUAACUGGGUGACUAUAAAGAUGCUCUACAGGUAUCUCCGAAGGUGUUCGUUGAGUUAGUAUGGAUCGAGCCUGGGAUUUGUCACUCCGUGUGACGGAGAGGUAUCUCGGGACCCACUUGGUAAUACAACAUCACACACAAGCCUUGCAAGCAAUGUGACUUAGUGUAAGUUGCGGGAUCUUGUAUUACGGAACGAGUAAAGAGACUUGCCGGUAAACGAGAUUGAAAUAGGUAUGCGGAUACUGACGAUCGAAUCUCGGGCAAGUAACAUACCGAAGGACAAAGGGAAUGACAUACGAGAUUAUAUGAAUCCUUGGCACUGAGGUUCAAACGAUAAGAUCUUCGUAGAAUAUGUAGGAUCCAAUAUGGGCAUCCAGGUCCCGCUAUUGGAUAUUGACCGAGGAGUCUCUCGGGUCAUGUCUACAUAGUUCUCGAACCCGCAGGGUCUGCACACUUAAGGUUCGACGUUGUUUUAUGCGUAUUUGAGUUGGAAGAAAAAUAGCCCUAUGCGCAUUGGAAGAAAAAUCAAAGAGAAAAGAAAAAAAGGAGGUGGUGGGAAAGGGAAGAAGGACUCCACCUUCCAAACCAAGUAGGACUCGGUUUGGGGGGGGAGACCUUCCCCCUUGGCUCGGCCGAAGCCCUUAGGGGUCCUUGGACCCCAAGGCAAGGCUCCCCCUCUUCCCCCUAUAUAUACGGAGGUUUUAGGGCUGAUUUGAGACAACUUGGCCACGGUAGCCUGACCACAUAUCUCCACGGUUUUACCUCUAGAUCGCGUUUCUGCGGAGCUCGGGCGGAGCCCUGCUGACGAGUUCAUCACCAACCUCCGGAGCGCCGUCAUGCUGCCGGAGAACUCUUCUACCUCUUCGUCUCUCUUGCUGGAUCAAGAAGGCCGAGAUCAUCGUCGAGCUAUACGUGUGUUGAACGCGGAGGUGCCGUCCGUUCGGCACUAGAUCGUGGGACUGAUCGCGGGAUAGUUCGCGGGGCGGAUCGAGGGACGUGAGGACGUUCCACUACAUCAACCGCGUUCACUAACGCUUCUGUUGUAUGGUCUACAAGGGUAUGUAGAUCACACAUCCCCUCUCGUAGAUGGACAUCACCAUGAUAGGUCUUCGUGCGCGUAGGAAAUUUUUUGUUUCCCAUGCGACGUUCCUCAACAGUCUGGUACACAGCAUGGCAUACAUUAGAGAGCCUACGACUGAAGCGUAGGGGACAUUACUCAUCUUCUCUCUAUCUGCUGCCGUGGUCGGUGACUGAGUCUUACUCAAUCUCAUACCUUGCAAAACUGGCAAGAACCCUUUCUUUGAGUUUUCCAUAUUGAACUUCUUCAAUAUCUUGUCAAGGUAUGUAUUUUGCGAAAGACCUAUGAGGCGCCUCGAUCUAUCUUUAUAGAUUUUGAUGCCUAAUAUGUAUGCACCUUCUCCAAGGUCCUUCAUUGAAAAACUCUUGUUCAAAUAGGCCUUUAUGCUCUCCAACAUCUCUAUAUUAUUCCGCAUCAAUAAUAUGUCAUCCACAUACAGUAUGAGGAAAGUUACAAAGCUCCCACUCACUUUCUUGUACAGACAGGCUUCUCCGUAAACCUGUAUGAACCCAAACACUUUAAUCACCUCAUUAAAGCGAAUGUUCCAACUCUGAGAUGCUUGCACCAGCACAUAGAUGGAGCGCUGGAGCUUGCACACUUUGUUAGCACCCUUAGGGUCGACAAAACCUUCUGGUUGCAUCAUAUACAACUCUUCCUUAAGGUUCCCGUUAAGGAACACUGUUUUGACGUCCAUUUGCCAAAUUUCAUAAUCAUAAAAGGCGGAAAUUGCUAACAUGAUUCGGACUGAUUUUAGCUUCGCUACGGGAGAGAAAGUCUCUUCGUAGUUAAUUCCUUGAAUUUAUCGAAAACCCUUUGCGACAGGUCGAGCUUUACAACCGGUUACAUUACCGUUUGCGUUAGUCUUCUUCUUGAAGAUCCAUUUAUUUUCUAUGGCUCGCCGGCCAUCGGGCAAGUCCACCAAAGUCCAUACUUUUUUCUCAUACAUGGAUCCUAUCUCGGAUUUCAUAGCUUCAAGCCAUUUGUUGGAAUCCGGGCCCGCCAUCGCUUCUUCAUAGUUCGAAGGUUCACCGUUGUCUAACAACAUGAUUUCCAUCACAGGGUUGCCAUACCACUCUCGUGCGGAGCGUGCCCUUGUGGACCUUCGCGGUUCAGUAGUAACUUGAUCCAAAGCUUCAUGAUCAUUAUCAUUAACUUCAUCUUCAGUUGGUGCAGGCGCCACAGGAACAACUUCCCGCGCCGCGCUACUUUCCUAUUCGAGAGAGGGUGUAAUUACCUCAUCAAAUUCUACCUUCCUCCCACGUACUUCUUUCGAGAGAAACUCUUUCUCUAGAAAGGAUCCGUUCUUGGCAACAAAGGUUUUACCAUCGGAUCUAAGAUAGAAGGUAUACCCAAUAGCUUCCUUAGGGUAUCCUAUGAAUACGCAUUUCUCCGCUUUGGGUUCGAGCUGUUCUGGUUGAAGUUUCUUCACAUAAGCAUCGCAGCCCCAAACUUUAAGAAACGACAACUUAGGCUUCUUGCCAAACCAUAGUUCAUACGGUGUCGUCUCAACGGAUUUAGACGGUGCCCUAUUUAAAGUGAAUGUUGCAGUUUCUAAUGCGUAUCCCCAAAAUGAUAGUGGUAAGUCGGUAAGAGACAUCAUAGAUCGUACCAUAUCUAAUAAAGUGCGAUUACGACGUUCAGACACUCCAUUGCGUUGCGGUGUGCCAGGCGGCGUCGGUUGUGAAACGAUUCCACACUUCCUUAGGUGUGUGCCAAACUCGUGACUAAAAUAUUCUCCUCCAUGAUCAGAUCGUAGACACUUAAUUUUUCUGCCACGUUGAUUCUCGACCUCACUCUGAAAUUCCUUGAACUUUUCAAACGUCUCAGAUUUGUGCUUCAUCAAGUAGAUAUACCCAUACCUACUCAAAUCAUCGGUGAGAGUGAGAACAUAAUGAUAGCCACCGCGAGCUUCAACGUUCAUUGGACCACACACAUUAGUAUAUAUUAUUUCCAAUAAGUCGGUUGCUCUCUCCAUCAUUCCUGAGAAUGGAGUCUUAGUCAUCUUGCCCAUGAGGCACGGUUCGCAUGUGUUAAAUGAUUCAAAGUCAAGAGACUCUAAUAGUCCAUCAGUAUGGAGCUUCUUCAUGCGCUUAACACCGAUAUGACCAGGGCGGCAGUGCCACAAGUAUGUGGGACUAUCAUUAUCAACUUUACAUCUUUUGGUACUCACACUAUGAAUAUGUGUAACAUCACGAUCGAGAUUCAUCAAGAAUAAACCAUUCACCAGCGGAGCAAGACCAUAAAACAUAUCACUCAUAUAAAUAGAACAACCAUUAUUCUCUGACUUAAAUGAGUAGCCGUCUCGCAUUAAGCAAGACCCUGAUACAAUAUUCAUGCUCAAAGCUGGUACUAAAUAACAAUUAUUAAGGUUAAAAACUAAUCCCGACGGUAGAUGUAGAGGUAGCGUGCCGACGGCGAUCACAUCGACCUUGGAGCCAUUCCCGACGCGCAUCGUCACCUCGUCCUUGGCCAGUCUCCGCUUAUUGCGCAGUUCCUGCUUUGAGUUGCAAAUGUGAGCAACAACACCGGUAUCAAAUACCCACGAGCUACUACAAGCACUGGUGAGGUACACAUCAAUAACAUGUAUAUCACAUAUACCUUUAACGUUGCCGGCCUUCUUGUCCGCUAAGUAUUUGGGGCAGUUCCGCUUCCAGUGACCCUUUCCCUUGCAAUAGAAGCACUCAGUCUCAGGUUUGGGUCCGUUCUUUUUCUUCUUCCCGGCAUCUGGCUUACCGGGCGCGGCAACAACUUUGCCGUCUUUCUUGAAGUUCUUCUUACCCUUGCCUUUCUUGAAACUAGUGGUCUUGUUGACCAUCAACACUUGAUGCUCUUUCUUGAUUUCUACUUCUGCAGACUUGAGCAUCGAGUACAACUCGGGAAUGGUCUUCUCCAUCCCUUGCAUGUUGUAGUUAAGCACAAAGCCUUUGUAGCUUGGUGGGAGAGAUUGGAGGAUUCUGUCAAUUAUAGCAUCAUCCGUAAGUUCGACUCCAAGUGAAGUCAGACGACCGUGUAACCCAGACAUUUUGAGUAUGUGCUCACUGACAGAACUGUUCUCCUCCAUAUUACAGCUAAAGAACUUGUCGGAGACUUCAUAUCUCUCGACACGGGCAUGAGCUUGAAAAACUAGCUUCAGCUCCUGGAACAUCUCAUAUGCCCCGUGUUGCUCAAAACGCCUUUGGAGCCCCGUUUCUAAAUUGUAUAACAUGCCACACCUGACCAGAGAGUAGUCAUCACUCCGCGUUUGCCAGACGUUCAGAAUGUCCUGGGCUGCCGCAGGAUCGGGAGGGUCACCUAGCGGCGCAUCAAGGACAUAAGCCUUUUUAGCUGCUUCAAGGAUGAGCUUCAAGUUGCGAACCCAGUCCGCAUAGUUGCUACCAUCAUCUUUCAGCUUGUUUUUCUCUAGGAAUGCGUUGAAAUUGAGGUUGACGUUGGACAUCUACAAUAUUUAUAAAGACAACUUUUAGACUAAGUUCAUGACAAUUAAGUUCAUUUAAUCAAAUUAAGUAUGAACUCCCACUUAAAUCGACAUCCCUCUAAUCAUCUAAGUGUUACAUGAUCCAUGUUGACUAACCCGUGUCCGAUCAUCACGUGAGACGGGCUAGUCACCAUGGUGAGCAACUUCAUGCUGAUCGUAUUCAACCAUACGACUCAUGUUCGACCUUCCGGUCUCUUGUAUUCGAGGUCAUGUCUGUACAUGCUAAGCUCGUCGAGUCAACCUAGGUGUUUCGCGUGUGUAAAUCUGGCUUACACCCGUUGUAUGCGAAUGUUAGAAUCUAUCACACUCUAUCAUCACGUGGUGCUUCGAGACAACGAUCCUUCGCAACGGUGCACACUUCGGGGAAUACGUUCUCGAAAUUUUAAGAGGGAUCAUAUUAUUAUGCUACCGUCGUUCUAAGCAAUAAGAUGAAAAACAUGAUAAACAUCUCAAUGGAAUCAUAUAGUGACAUGAUAUGGCCAUUAUCAUCUUUGCUCUUUCGAUCUCCAUCUUCAGGCAUCGCAUGUGUUGGAAAUAUGCCCUAGGGCGCAGGAAGAUGUUCCUGUGGCGCCUACACCAAUUGAAGUAGAAGCUGAUGAUGGUGAUCAUUAGAGCUUCGGAUCAAGUUACUACAAACCUCGUAGGUCGACAAAGGUCACGUACUACUACAGAGUGGUACGGUAACCCUGUCUUGGAGGUCAUGUUGUUGAACAACAAAGAACCUGCGAGUUAUGGAGAAGCGAUGGUGGGCUCGGUGUUGGCUUACGUAGCAUAAAUUCAAAAUUUUCCUACGCAUAUUCAGAUCUUCCUAUGGAGAGACCAGCAAAGAGAGAGGGGUGAGUGCAUCUUCAUACCUUUGAAGAUCGCUAAGCGGAAGCGUUGCUAGAACGCGGUUGAUGGAGUCGUACUCGCAGCGAUUCCGAUCUAGUGUCGAACUACGGCACCUCCGCGUUCAACACACGUGCAGCCCGGUGAUGUCUCCCGCACCUUGAUCCAGCAAGGAGGAGGGAGAGGUGUUGGGGAACGUCGCAUGGGGAACAAAAAUUUCCUACACGCACGAAGACCUAUCAUGGUGAUGUCCAUCUACGAGAGGGGAUUUCCGAUCUACGUACCCUUGUAGAUCGCACAGCAGAAGCGUUAGUGAACGCGGUUGAUGUAGUGGAACAUCCUCACGUCCCUCGAUCCGCCCCGCGAACCGUCCCACGAACCGUCCCGCGAUCCGUCCCACGAUCCGCUUCGAUCUAGUGUCGAACGGACGGCACCUCCGCGUUCAGCACACGUACAGCUCGACGAUGAUCUCGGCCUUCUUGAUCCAGCAAGAGAUACGGAGAGGUAGAUGAGUUCUCCGGCAGCAUGACGGCGCUCCGGAGGUUGGUGGUGAUCUAAUCUCAGCAGGGCUCCGCCCGAGCUCCGCAGAAACGCGAUCUAGAGGUAAAACCAUGGAGGUAUGUGGUCGGGCUGCCUUGAAAAAGUUGUCUCAAAUCAGCCCUAAUAGCUCCAUAUAUAUAGGAGGAGGGAGGGGAGGCUUGCCUUGAGGCUCAAGGAGCCCCAAGGGCUGCGCACCAAGGGGACGAGGAGUCCUCCUCCAAUCCUAGUCCAACUAGGAUUGGAAGGUGGAGUCCUUCUCUCCCUUCCCACCUCCUUUUUUCUUUUCUCUUUGAUUUUCUAUCUAUGGCGCAUAGGGCCUUCUUGGGCUGUCCCACCAGCCCACCAAGGGCUGGUGCACCACCCCCAAGGCCUAUGGUCUUCCCCGGGAUGGGCUGCCCCCCCCCCGGUGAACACCCGGAACCCAUUCGUCAUUCUGGGUACAUUCCCGGUAACUCCAAAAACCUUCCGGUAAUCAAAUGAGGUCAUCCUAUAUAUCAAUAUUUGUUUCCGGACCAUUCCGGAAACCCUCGUGACGUCCGUGAUCUCAUCCGGGACUCCGAACAACAUUCGGUAACCAACCAUAUAACUCAAAUACGCAUAAAACAACGUCGAACCUUAAGUGUGCACACCCUGCGGGCUCGAGAACUAUGUAGACAUGACCCGAGUGACUCCUCGGUCAAUAUCCAAUAGCGGGACCUGGAUGCCCAUAUUGGAUCCUACAUAUUCUACGAAGAUCUUAUCAUUUGAACCUCGGUGCCAAGGAUUCAUAUAAUCCCGUAUGUCAUUCCCUUUGUCCUUCGGUAUGUGACUUGCCCGAGAUUCGAUCGUCAGUAUCCGCAUACCUAUUUCAAUCUCGUUUACCGGCAAGUCACUUUACUCGUUCCGUAAUACAAGAUCCCGCAACUUACACUAAGUCACAUUGCUUGCAAGGCUUGUGUGUGAUGUUGUAUUACCGAGUGGGCCCCGAGAUACCUCUCCGUCAUACGGAGUGACAAAUCCCAGUCUCGAUCCAUACUAACUCAACGAACACCUUCGGAGAUACGUGUAGAGCAUCUUUAUAGUCACCCAGUUACGUUGCCACGUUUGAUACACACAAAGAAUUCCUCCAGUGUCGGUGAGUUAUAUGAUCUCAUGGUCAUAGGAACAAAUACUUGACACGCAAAAAACAGUAGCAACAAAAUGACACGAUCAACAUGCUACGUCUAUUAGUUUGGGUCUAGUCCAUCACAUGAUUCUCCUAAUGAUGUGAUCCCCUUAUCAAGUGAUAACACUUGCCUAUGGUCAGGAAACCUUGACCAUCCUUUGAUCAACGAGCUAGUCAACUAGAGGCUUACUAGGGACUGUGUUGUGUCUAUGUAUCCACACAUGCACCGUGUUUCCAAUCAAUACAAUUAUAGCAUGGAUAAUAAACGAUUAUCAUGAACAAAGAAAUAUAAUAAUAACUAAUUUAUUAUUGCCUCUAGGGCAUAUUUCCAACAAGAGGUUGGGGAAGAACUCCAGCAGCACGACGGCGUGGUGUCGAUGGAGAGACGAGGUCUCCGAGCAGGGCUUCGCCAAGCACCGGCAGAGAGGAGGAGGAAGAAGGGCAGGGCUGCGCCGAGGGAAAGGGAGAAGUCUGUCUCCCAAGGGCCAAAACCCCUCUCUAUUUAUAGGAGGAGGGAGAGGGGCUGCGCCACCCCUAGGGUUCCCCCUAGGUGGUGCGGCAUCCACCAGAUGGGAAAGGGGGCAGCGGCUAGGGUGGGAGGGGGUGGCGCACCACCUGGUGGGCCUAAGGCCCACCUGUGCCUAGGGUUUGCCCCCCCUUCCCUCUCCCCUGCGCAUUGGGCUGAGUGGGGAGGCGCACCAACCCACCUAGGGGCUGGUUCCUCCCCCACUUGGCCCACCUUACCUCCCAGGGUCGUUGCCCCCCUUCGAUGGACCCCCGGGGCCACCUCUGGUGGUCCCGGUGGUCCCGGUAUGUUACCGGUGAUGCCCGAAACACUUCCGGUGUCCGAAACCAUCCGUCCUAUAUAUCAAUCUUUACCCCCAGACCAUUCCGGAGCUCCUUGUGACGUCCGGGAUCUCAUCCGGGACUCCGAAAGACUUUUGGUAACCUCAUAUAACAAUUCCCUAUAACCCUAGCGUCACCGAACCUUAAGUGUGUAGACCCUACGGGUUCGGGAGACAGGCAGACAUGACCGAGACACCUCUUUGGCCAAUAACCAUCAGCGGGGUCUGGAUACCCAUGGUGCCUCCCACUUGCUCCACGAUGAUCUCAUCGGAUGAACCACGAUGUCAAGGAUUCAAUCAAUCCCAUAUACAAUUCCCUUUGUCUGUCGGUAUAGAACUUGCCCGAGAUUCGAUCGUCGGUAUACCAAUACCUUGUUCAACCUCAUUCCGUUAAGUCUCUUUACUCGUUCCGUAGCACGUCAUCGUGUGACUAACUCCUUAGUCACAUUGAGCUCAUGAUGAUGUUCUACCGAGUGGGCCCAGAGAUACCUCUCCGUCACACGGAGUGGCAAAUUCCGAUCUCGAUUCGUACCAACCCAACAGACACUUUCGGAGGUACCCGUAGUGGACCUUUAUAGUCACCCGGUUACAUUGUGACGUUUGAUACACCCAAAGCACUCCUACGGUAUCCGGAAGUUGCACAAUAUCACGGUCGAAGGAAAAGAUACUUGACAUUAGAAAAGCUUUAGCAUACGAACAAUACGAUCUAGUGCUAUGCUUAGGGUUGGGUCUUGUCCAUCACAUCAUUCUCCCAAUGAUGUGAUCCCGUUAUCAAUGACAUCUAAUGCCCAUGAUCAGGAAACCAUGAUCAUCUAUUGACUAACGAGCUAGCCAACUAGAGGCUUGCUAGGGACACAUUGUGAUCUAUUUAUUCACACAUGUAUUACUGUUUCCUGUUAAUACAAUUAUAGCAUGAACAAUAGACGAUUAUCAUGAACAAGGAAAUAUGAUAAUAACCAUUUUAUUAUUGCCUCUAGGGCAUAUUUCCAACAGUCUCCCACUUGCACUAGAGUCAAUAAUCUAGUUACAUUGUGAUGUAUCGAACACCCAUAGCAUUAUGGUGUUGAUCAUGUUUUGCUCGUGGAAGAGGUUUAGUCAACGGGUCUGCAAUAUUCAGAUCCGUGUGUACUUUACAAAUAUCUAUCACUCCACUCUGGACAUGGUCCUGGAUGGAGUUGUAGCGGUGUUUGAUGUGCUUCGUCUUCUGGUGAAACCUGGGCUCCUUGGCUAUGGCAAUGGCCCCAGUGUUAUUACAGAAGAGUGUCAUUGGACCCGACGCGCUUGGAACCACUCCAAGGUCGGUGAUGAGCUCCUUCAUCCAAAUUCCUUCAUGAGCCGCUUCUGAAGCAGCUAUGUACUCCGCUUCACAUGUAGAUGCUGCCACGACUUCUUGCUUGCUGCUGCACGAGCUCACUACCCCACCAUUCAACACAUAUACGUAUCCGGUUUGUGACUUAGAGUCAUCCGGAUCUGUGUCGAAGCUAGCGUCGACGUAACCCUUUACGACGAGCUCUUCGUCACCUCCAUAAACGAGAAACAUUUCCUUAGUCCUUUUCAGGUACUUAAGGAUAUUCUUGACCGCUGUCCAGUGUUCUGCACCGGGGUCACUUUGGUACCUCCCUACCAAGCUUAUGGCAUGGUUUAUAUCAGGUCUGGUACACAGCAUGCAUACAUUAGAGAGCCCACGGCUGAUGCAUAGGGGACAUAACUCAUCUUCUCUCCUGCCGUGGUCGGCGACUGAGUCUUACUCAAUCUCAUACCUUGCAAAACUGGCGAGAACCCUUUCUUUGAGUUUUCCAUAUUGAACUUCUUCAAUAUCUUGUCAAGGUAUGUACUUUGCGAAAGACCUAUGAGGCGUCUUGAUCUAUCUCUAUAGAUCUUGAUGCCUAAUAUGUAUGCAGCUUCUCCAAGGUCCUUCAUUGAAAAACUUUUGUUCAAAUAGGCCUUUAUGCUCUCCAACAUCUCUAUAUUAUUCCCCAUCAAUAAUAUGUCAUCCACAUAUACAGUAUGAGGAAAGCUACAGAGCUCCCACUCACUUUCUUGUAUAGACAGGCUUCUCCGUAAACCUGUAUGAACCCAAACGCUUUAAUCACCUCAUUAAAGCGAAUGUUCCAACUCCGAGAUGCUUGCACCAGCCCAUAGACGGAGCACUGGAGCUUGCACACUUUGUUAGGACCCUUAGGGUCGACAAAACCUUCUGGUUGCAUCAUAUACAACUCUUCCUUGAGGUUCCCGUUAAGGAACGCUGUUUUGACGUCCAUUUGCCAAAUUUCAUAAUCAUAAAAGGCGGCAAUUGCUAACAUGAUUCAGAGUGAUUUCAGCUUCGCUACGGGAGAGAAAGUCUCUUCGUAGUCAAGUCCUUGAAUUUGUCAAAAACCCUUUGCAACAAGUCGAGCUUUAUAAACUGUUACAUUACCAUUUGCAUCAGUCUUCUUCUUGAAGAUCCAUUUAUUUUCUAUGGCUCGCCGGUCAUCGGGCAUGUCCACCAAAGUCCAUACUUUGUUCUCAUACAUGGAUCCUAUCUCGGAUUUCAUAGCUUCAAGCCAUUUGUUGGAAUCCGGGCCCGCCAUCGCUUCUUCAUAGUUCGAAGGUUCACCGUUGUCUAACAACAUGAUUUCCAUCAUAGGGUUGCCGUACCACUCUGGUGCGGAGCGUGCCCUUGUGGACCUUCGCGGUUCAGUAGUAACUUGAUCCGAAGCUUCAUGAUCAUCAUCAUUAACUUCCUCUUCAAUUGGUGUAGCCGCCAUAGGAACAACUUCCCGCGCUGUGCUACUAUCCUGUUCGAGAGGGGGUGUAAUUACCUCAUCAAGUUCUACCUUCCUCCCACUUACUUCUUUCGAGAGAAACUCUUUCUCUAGAAAGGAUCCCUUCUUGGCAACAAAGGUUUUACCUUCGGAUCUAAGAUAGAAGGUAUACCCAAUAGUUUCCUUAGGGUAUCCUAUGAAUACGCAUUUCUCCGCUUUGGGUUCGAGCUUUUCUGGUUGAAGUUUCUUCACAUAAGCAUUGCAACCCCAAACUUUAAGAAACGACAACUUAGGUUUCUUGCCAAACCAUAGUUCAUACGGUGUCGUCUCAACGGAUUUAGACGGUGCCCUAUUUAAAGUGAAUGCUGCAGUUUCUAAUGCGUAUCCCCAAAAUGAUAGCGGUAAGUCGGUAAGAGACAUCAUAGAUCGUACCAUAUCUAAUAAGGUGCGAUUACGACGUUCAGACACUCCGUUGCGUUGCGGUGCGCCAGACGGCGUCAGUUGUGAAACGAUCCCACACUUUCUUAGGUGUGUGCCAAACUCGUGACUCAAAUAUUCUCCUCCACGAUCAGAUCGUAGACACUUGAUUUUUCUGUAACGUUGAUUCUCGACCUCACUCUGAAAUUCCUUGAACUUUUCAAAUGUCUCAGAUUUGUGUUUCGUCAACUAGAUAUACCCAUACCUAUACUCAAAUCAUCGGUGAGAGUGAGAACAUAACGAUAGCCACCGCGAGCUUCAACGUUCAUUGGACCACACACAUCAGUAUGUAUUAUUUCCAAUAAGUCGGUUGCUCUCUCCAUUAUUCCUGAGAAUGGAGUCUUAGUCAUCUUGCCCAUGAGGCACGGUUCACAUGUGUCAAAUGAUUCAAAAUCAAGAGACUCUAAUAGUCCAUCAGUAUGGAGCUUCUUCAUGCGCUUAACGCCGAUAUGACCAAGGCGGCAGUGCCACAAGUAUGUGGGACUAUCAUUAUCAACUUUAGAUCUUUUGGUACUCACACUAUGAAUAUGUGUAACAUCACGAUCGAGAUUCAUCAAUAAUAAACCAUUCACCAGCGGAGCAUGACCAUAAAACAUAUCACUCAUAUAAAUAGAACAACCAUUAUUCUCUGACUUAAAUGAGUAGCCGUCUCGCAUUAAGCAAGACCCUGAUACAAUGUUCAUGCUUAAAGCUGGUACUAAAUAACAAUUAUUAAGGUUUAAAACUAAUCCCGACGAUAGAUGUAGACGUAGCGUGCCAACGGUGAUCACAUCGACCUUUGAACCAUUCCCGAGGCGCAUCGUCACCUCGUCCUUGGCGAGUCUCCGCUUAUUCCGCAGUUCCUGCUUUGAGUUGCAAAUGUGAGCAACAACACCGGUAUCAAAUACCCAGGAGCUACUACGAGCGCUCGUAAGGUACACAUCUAUAACAUGUAUAUCACAUAUACCUUUAACGUUGUCGGCCUUCUUGUCCGCUAAGUAUUUGGGGCAGUUCCGCUUCCAGUGACCCUUUCCCUUGCAAUAGAAGCACUCAGUCUCAGGCUUGGGUCCAUUCUUUUUCUUCUUCCCGACAUCUGGCUUACCGGGCGCGGCAACAACUUUGCCGUCUUUCUUGAAGUUCUUCUUACCCUUGCCUUUUUUGAAACUAGUGGUCCUGUUGACCAUCAACACUUGAUGCUCUUUCUUGAUUUCUACUUCUGCAGACUUGAGCAUCGAGUACAACUCGGGAAUGGUCUUUUCCAUCCCUUGCAUGUUGUAGUUAAGCACAAAGCCUUUGUAGCUUGGUAGGAGAGACUAGAUGAUUCUGUCAAUUAUAGCAUCAUCCGGAAGUUCGACUCCGAGUGAAGUCAGACGACCGUGUAACCGAGACAUUUUGAGUAUGUGCUCACUGACAGAACUGUUCUCCUCCAUUUUAUAGCUAAAGAACUUGUCGGAGACUUCAUAUCUCUUGACACAAGCAUGAGCUUGAAAAAUUAGCUUCAGCUCCUGGAACAUCUCAUAUGCUCUGUGUUGCUCAAAACGCCUUUGGAGCCCCGUUUCUAAACUGUAUAACAUGCCACACCUAACCAGAGAGUAGUCAUCACUCCGCGUUUGCCAGACGUUCAGAAUGUCCUGGGCUGCUAUGGGAGCGGGAGGGUCACCUAGCGGCGCAUCAAGGACAUAAGCCUUUUUAGCUGCUUCAAGGAUGAGCUUCAAGUUGCGAACCCAGUCCGCAUAGUUGCUACCAUCAUCUUUCAGCUUGUGUUUCUCUAGGAAUGCGUUGAAAUUGAGGUUGACGUUGGCCAUCUACAAUAUUUAUAAAGACAACUUUUAGACUAAGUUCAUGAAAAUUAAGUUCAUUUAAUCAAAUUAAGUAUGAACUCCCACAUAAAUCGACAUCCCUCUAGUCAUCUAAGUGAUACAUGAUCCAUGUUGACUAACCCGUGUCCGAUCAUCACGUGAGACGGACUAGUCACCAUGGUGAGCAACUUCAUGCUGAUCGUAUUCAACCAUACGACUCAUGUUCGACCUUUCUGUCUCUUGUAUUCGAGGUCAUGUCUGUACAUGCUAAGCUCGUCGAGUCAACCUAGGUGUUUCGCAUGUGUAAAUCUGGCUUACACCCGUUGUAUGCGAACGUUAGAAUCUAUCACACCCGAUCAUCACGUGGUGCUUCGAGACAACGAACCUUCGCAAUAGUGCACACUUAGGGGAAUACGUUCUCGAAAUUUUAAGAGGGAUCAUAUUAUUAUGCUACCGUCGUUCUAAGCAAUAAGAUGUAAAACAUGAUAAACAUCACAAUGCAAUCAUAUAGUGACAUGAUAUGGCCAUUAUCAUCUUUGCUCUUUCGAUCUCCAUCUUCAGGCAUCGCAUGAUCAUCAUCGUCACCGGCGUGACACCAUGAUAUCCAUCAUCGUGUCUCCGUGAAGUCGUCACGCAAACUACUACUAUCACUACUACUAUAGCUAACCAUUAGCAAUGAAGUAAAAGUAGUAAGCACAUGGCGUUGCAUCUCAUACAAUAAAUUAAGACAACUCCUAUGGAUCCUGCCGGUUGUCAUACUCAUCGACAUGCAAGUCGUGAAACCUAUUACAAUAACAUGAUCAUCUCAUACAUCAUACAUGCAACAUCACAACUUUGGCCAUAUCACAUCACAUGUCAAACCCUGCAAAAACAAGUUAGACGUCCUCUAAUUGUAGUUGCAAGUUUUACGUGGCUGAUUUGGGUUUCUAGCAAGAACGCCUUCUUACCUACGUGACAGCCACAAUGAUGAUAUGCCAAAGCUAUUUACCCUUCAUAAGGACCCUUUUCAUCAAAUCCAAUCCGACUAGAGUAGGAGAGACAGACACCCGCUAGCCACCUUUAUGCACGGUGUGCAUGUCUGUCGGUGGAACUAGUCUCACGUAAGCGUACGUGUAAAGUCGGUCCGGGACGCUUCAUCCCACAAUACCGUCAGAAAAGAAUAAGACUAGUAGCGGCAAGAAAAUUGACAAAUCAUCGCCCACAACUUUUGUGUUCUACUCAUGCAUAGAAUCUACGCAUAGAAAAUCUGGCUCUGAUACCACUCUUGGGUUUUGUAGCAUAAAUUCAAAAUUUUCCUACGCAUAUUCAGGUCUUCCUAUGGAGAGACCAGCAACGAGAGAGGGGUGAGUGCAUCUUCAUACCUUUGAAGAUCGCUAAGCGGAAGCGUUGCUAGAACGUGGUUGAUGGAGUCGUACUCGCAGCGAUACCGAUCUAGUGCCGAACUACGACACCUCGACGUUCAACACACGUGCAGUCCGGUGACGUCUCCCGCACCUUGAUCCAGCAAGGAGGAGGGAGAGGUUGGAGAAGAACUCCAGCAGCACGACGGCGUGGUGUCGAUGGAGAGACGAGGUCUCCCGGCAGGGCUUCGCCAAGCACCGGCAGAGAGGAGGAGGAAGAAGGGCACGGAUGCGCCGAGGGAAAGGGAGAAGUAUGUCUCCCAAGGGCCAAACCCCCUCUCUAUUUAUAGGAGGAGGGGGAGGGGGUGCGCCACCCCUAGGGUUACCCCCUUGGUGGUGCGGCAGCCACCAGAUGGGAAAGGGGGCGGCGGCUAGGGUGGGAGGGGGUGGCGCACCACCUGGUGGGCCUAAGGCCCACCUGUGCCUAGAGUUUGCCCCCCCUUCCCUCUCCCCUGCGCAUUGGGCUGAGUGAGGAGGCGCACCAGCCCACCUAGGGGCUGGUUCCCUCCCCCACUUGGCCCACCUUACCUCCCGGGGUCGUUGCCCCCCUUCGGUGGACCCUCGGGGCCACCUCCGGUGGUCCCGGUACGUUACCGGUGAUGCCCGAAACACUUCCGGUGUCCGAAACCAUCCGUCCUAUAUAUCAAUCUUUACCUCCGGACCAUUCCGGAGCUCCUCACGACGUCAGAGAUCUCAUCCGGGACUCCGAACAACUUUCAGUAACCUCAUAUAACAAUUCCCUAAAACCCUAGCGUCACCGAACCUUAAGUGUUUAGACCCUACAGGUUCGGGAGACAGGCAGACAUGACCGAGACACCUCUCUGGCCAAUAACCAUCAGCGGGGUCUGGAUACCCAUGGUGGCUUCCACUUGCUCCACGAUGAUCUCAUCGGAUGAACCACGAUGUCAAGGAUUCAAUCAAUCCCGUAUACAAUUCCCUUUGUCGGUAUAGAACUUGCCCGAGAUUCCAUCGUCGGUAUACCAAUACCUUGUUCAAUCUCGUUACCGGUAAGUCUCUUUACUCGUUCCGUAGCACGUCAUCGUGUGACUAACUCCUUAGUCACAUUGAGCUCAUGAUGAUGUUCUACCGAGUGGGCCCAGAGAUACCUCUUCGUCACACGGAGUGAGAAAUCUCGAUCUCGAUUCGUACCAACCCAACAGACAUUUUCGGAGGUACCCGUAGUGCACCUUUAUAGUCACCCAGUUACGUUGUGACGUUUGAUACACCCAAAGCACUCCUACGGUAUCCAGGAGUUUCACAAUCUCAUGGUCGAAGGAAAAGGUACUUGACAUUAGAAAAGCUUUAGCAUACGAACAAUACGAUCUAGUGCUAUGCUUAGGAUUGGGUCUUCUCCAUCACAUCAUUCUCCCAAUGAUGUGAUCCCGUUAUCAAUGACAUCUAAUGCCCAUGAUCAGGAAACCAUGAUCAUCUAUUGACUAACGAGCUAGCCAACUAGAGGCUUGCUAGGGACACAUUGUGAUCUAUUUAUUCACACAUGUAUUAUUGUUUCCUGUUAAUACAAUUAUAGCAUGAACGAUAGACGAUUAUCAUGAACAAGGAAAUAUGAUAAUAACCAUUUUAUUAUUGCCUCUAGGGCAUAUUUCCAACACUUGGAUUCCGACAAAAUGGCUGGAGGCCAUGAAAUCCGAGAGAGAAUCCAUAUGUGAGAACAAAGUAUAGACUUUGGAAGAACUACUUGAUGGUCGUAGGACUAUUAAGUAAAGAUGGAUUUUUAAAAGGAAGACAGACGAUGAUGGUGAUAAGUCACUAUUAAGAAAAGCUCAACUUGUCGCAAAGAUGUUUUCGACAAGAUCAAAGAGUUGACUGUGAUGUGACUUUCUCACUCAUAGAGAUGCUAAAAGUCUGUUGGAAUUAUGUUAGUAGUUGCUGCAUUAUUUGUGAAAUAUUGCACAUAGGAAGUCAGGACAUUGUUUCCUCGACGGUUUCCUUGAGGAAAGAUUGUAUGUGAUACAAUGAGAAUGUUUUGUCGAUCCUAAGGAUACUAACAAGUAUGCAAGCUCCAGCGAUCCUUCAAUGGACUGGUGCAAGCAUCUCGGAGUUGGAAUAUACACUUUGAUGAGAUGAUCAAAGAUUUUGGGUUUGUACAAGGUUUAUGAGAAACUUGUAUUUCCAAAGAAGUGAGUGGGAGCACUAUAGAAUUUCUGAUAAGUAUAUGUGGUUGACAUAUUGUUGAUCAGAAGUAAUGUAGAAUUUCUGUAAAGCAUACAAGGUUGUUUGAAAGGAGUUUUUCAAAGGAAUACCUGGAUUGAGCUACUUGAACGUUGAGCAUCAAGAUCUAUGGAGACAGAUCAGAAUGCUUAAUAGAAGUUUCAACAAGAUGCAUGCCUUGACAAGUUUUUGAAGGAGUUCAAAAUAGAUCAGCAAAGAAGGAGUUCUUGAUUGUGUUGUAAGGUGUGAAUUUGAGUAAGACUCAAAACUCGACCACGGUAGAAUAAAGAAAAUAGACGAAGGUCGUCUUCUAUGCCUUAGCCGUAGACUCUAAAGUAUGUCAUGCUGAGUACCGCACCUGAUGUGUGCCUUGCAGCAAGUCUGUUAAGAGGUACAGAGAGUGAUCCAGGAUUGAAUCACUGAUCAGCGGUCAAAGUUAUCAUUAGUAACUAAAUGGACUAAGGAAUUUUUCUCGAUUAUGGAGGUUGUUAAAGAGUUCGUCGUAAAGGGUUACGUCGAUACAAGCUUUGACACUAAUCCAAAUAACUAUGAGUAGUGAAACGGAUUCGUAUAGUAGAGUAGAUAUUUGGAGUAUUUCCGAAUAGCACGUAGUAGCAGCAUCUAUAAGAUGACAUAAAGAUUUGUAAAGAACACACGGAUCUGAAAGUUUCAGAAUCGUUGACUAAAACCUCUCUCACGAGCAAGACGUGAUCAGACCCCAGAACUAUAUGGGUGUUGGAUUCGUUGAAAUCACAUGGUGAUGUGAACUAGAUUAUUGACUCUAGUGCAAGUGGGAGACUGUUGGAAAUAUGCCCUAGAGGCCAUAAUAAAUUAGUUAUUAUUAUAUUUAUUUGUUCAUGAUAAUCAUUUAUUAUCCAUGCUAUAAUUGUAUUGAUUGGAAACACAAUACUUGUGUGGAUACAUAGACAAAACACUGUCCCUAGUAAGCCUCUAGUUGACUAGCUCGUUGAUCAAAGAUGGUCAAGGUUUCCUGACCAUAGGCAAGUGUUGUCACUUGAUAACGGGAUCACAUCAUUAGGAGAAUCAUGUGAUGGACUAGACCCAAACUAAUAGACGUAGCAUGUUGAUAGUGUCAUUUUGUUGCUACUGUUUUCUGCGUGUCAAGUAUUUAUUCCUAUGACCAUGAGAUCAUAUAACUUACUGACACCGGAGGAAUGCUUUGUGUGUAUCAAACAUCACAACGUAACUGGGUGACUAUAAAGAUGCUCUACAAGUAUCUCCGAAGGUGUCCGUUGAGUUAGUAUGGAUCAAGACUGGGAUUUGUCACUCCGUGUGACAGAGAGGUAUCUCGGGGCCCACUCGGUAAUACAACAUCACACACAAGCCUUGCAAGCAAUGUGACUUAGUAUAAGUCACGGGAUGUUGUAUUAUGGAACGAGUAAAGAGACUUGCGAGUAAACGAGAUUGAAAUAAGUAUGCGGAUACUGACGAUCGAAUCUUGGGCAAGUAACAUACCGAAGGACAAAGGGAAUGACAUACGGGAUUAUAUGAAUCCUUGGCACUGAGGUUCAAACUGUAAGAUCUUCGUAGAAUAUGUAGGAUCCAAUAUGGGCAUCCAGGUCCCGCUAUUGGAUAUUGACCGAGGAAUCCCUCGGGUCAUGUCUACAUAGUUCUCGAACCCGCACGGUCUGCACACUUAAGGUUCGACAUUGUUUUAUGGGUAUUUGAGUUAUAUGGUUGGUUACCGAAUGUUGUUAGGAGUCCCGGAUGAGAUCACGGAUGUCACGAGGGUUUCCGGAAUGGUCCGAAGACGAAGAUUGAUAUAUAGGAUGACCUCAUUUGAUUACGGGAAAGUUUUCGGCAUUACCGGGAAUGUACCGGGAGUGACGAAUGGGUUCUGGAUGUUCACCGGGGUGGGGGGGGGCAAGCCCACCCGGGGGAAGCCCAUAGGCCUUAGGGGUGCCACACCAGCCCUUAGUGGGCUGGUGGAACAGCCCAAGAAGCCCUAUGUGCAGGAGAAAGAAAAAUCAAAGAGAAAAAGGGGAAGUGGGAAAGUGGAGAAGGACUCCACCUUCCAAUCCUAGUUGGACUAGGAUUGGAAGGGGAGGACUCUCCCCCUUGGUUCGGCCGAACCCCUUGGGGCUCCUUGAGCCCCAAGGCAAGGCCCCUCCCCUCCCACCUAUAUUUACGGAGGUUUUAGGGCUGAUUUGAGACAACUUUUUCACGGCAGCCCGACCACAUACCUCCACAGUUUUUCCUCUAGAUCGCGUUUGUGCGGAGCUCGGGCGGAGCCCUGCUGAUAUUAGAUCACCACCAACCUCCGGAGCGCUGUCACGCUGCCGAAGAACUCAUCUAACUCUCCGUCUCUCUUGCUGGAUCAAGAAGGCUGAGAUCAUCGUCGAGCUGUACGUGUGCUGAACGCGGAGGUGUCGUCCGUUCGGCACUAGAUCGGAGCGGAUCGUGGGACAGAUCGUGGGACGGUUCGUGGGACGGUUCACGGGGCGGAUCAAGGGACGUGAGGACGUUCCACUACAUCAACCGCGUUUCUUAACGCUUUUGCUGUGCGAUCUACAAGGGUACGUAGAUCGGAAAUCCCCUCUCGUAGAUGGACAUCACCAUGAUAGGUCUUCGUGCGCGUAGGAAUUUUUUUGUUUCCCAUGUGACGUUCCCCAACAGCAUGAUCAUCAUUGUCACCGGCGUGACACCAUGAUCUCCAUCAUCAUGAUCUCCAUCUUCGUGUCUCCGUGAAGUCGUCACGCCAACUACUACUAUCACUAGUACUAUAGCUAACCAUUAGCAAUGAAGUAAAAGUAGUAAGCACAUGGCGUUGCAUCUCAUACAAUAAAUUAAGACAACUCCUAUGGCUCGUGCCGGUUUUCAUACUCAUCGACAUGCAAGUCGUGAAACCUAUUACAAUAACAUGAUCAUCUCAUACAUCAUACAUGCAACAUCACAACUUUGGCCAUAUCACAUCACAUGUCAAACCCUGCAAAAACAAGUUAAACGUCCUCUAAUUGUUGUUGCAAGUUUUACGUGGCUGAUUUGGGUUUUUAGUAAGAACGCUUUCUUACCUACGUGACAGCCACAACGAUGAUAUGCCAAAGCUAUUUACCCUUCAUAAGGACCCUUUUCAUCAAAUCCAAUCCGACUAGAGUAGGAGAGACAAACACCCGCAGCCACCAUUAUGCACGGUGUGCAUGUCUGUCAGUGGAACCAGUCUCACGUAAGCGUACGUGUAAGGUCCGUCCGGGCCGCUUCAUCCCACAAUACUGCCGGAAAAGAAUAAGACUAUUAGCGGCAAGCAAUUGACAAAUCAUCGCCCACAACCUUUUGUGUUCUACUCGUGCAUAGAAUGUACGCAUAGAAAACCUGGCUCGGAUGCCACUGAUGGGUAACGUAGCAUAAAUUCAAAAAAUUUCCUACGCAUAUUCAGAUCUUCCUACGCAAAGAGAGAGGGGUGAGUGCAUCUUCAUACCUUUGAAGAUUGCUAAGCGGAAGCGUUGCUAGAACGCGGUUGAUGGAGUCGUACUCGCGGCGAUUCAGAUUGCGGUGUGAUUCUGAUCUAGUGCCGAACCGCGGCGCCUCCGCGUUCAACACACGUGCAGCCCGGUGACGUCUCCCGCACCUUGAUCCAGGAAGGAGGAGGGAGAGGUUGGGGAAGAUAUCCUGCAGCACGACAACAUGAUGUUGAUGGAGAAACGAGGUCUCCCGGCAGGGCUUCGCCAAGCACCGUGGGAGAGGAGGAAGAAGGGGGGCAGGGCUGCGCCGAGGGAGAUAGAAAACGGUGUGUAAAACAGCCCCAAAACCCCCACUAUAUAUAGGAGGAGGGGAGGGGGUUCCACCCCUAGGGUUCCCACCCUAGGUGGUGCGGCAGCCCCCCCAGAUGGGAGGUGCGGCAGCCAGGGCACGGGGAGGGGUUGGCGCACCCCUAGGUGGGCCUUAUGCCCACCAGCGCCUAGGGUCCCCCCCUCUCCACCUCCUGUGCCUUGGGCCUCCUUGUGGGAGGCGCACCAGCCCACUUUGGGCUGGUUGCCCUCCCUCUUUUGGCCCAUGCUACCUCUUGGGCUGGUAGACCCCCGGGACCAUUACCGGUGGUCCCGGUACAUUACCGGUGACGCCCGAAACAUUUCCGGUGUCCAAAACCAUCCAUCCUAUAUAUCAAUAUUUACCUCCGGACCAUUCCGGAGCUCCUCGUAACGUCCGGGAUCUCAUCGAGACUCCGAACAACUUUCUAUAAUCUCGUAUAACAAUUCCCUAUAACCCUAGCGUCAUCGAACCUUAAGUGUGUAGACCCCACGGGUUCGGGAGACAGGCAGACAUGACCGAGACACCUCUCCGGCCAAUAACCAUCAGCGGGGUCUGGAUACCCAUGGUGGCUUCCACUUGCUCCACGAUGAUCUCAUCGGAUGAACCACGAUGUCAAAGAUUCGAUCAAUCCCGUAUACAAUUCUCUUUGUCUGUCGGUAUAGAACUUGCCCGAGAUUCAAUCGUCGGUAUACCUAUACCUUGUUCAAUCUCGUUACCGGUAAGUCUUUUUACUCGUUCCGUAGCACGUCAUCGUGUGACUAACUUCUUAGUCACAUUGAGCUCAUGAUGAUGUUCUACCGAGUGGGCCCAGAGAUACCUCUCCGUCACGCGGAGUGACAAAUCCCGAUCUCGAUUUGUACCAACCCAACACACACUUUUAGAGGUACCCGUAGUGCACCUUUAUAGUCACCCAGUUACGUUGUGACGUUUGAUACACCCAAAGCACUCCUACGGUAUCCGGGAGUUGCACAAUCUCACGGUCGAAGGAAAAGACACUUGACAUUAGAAANUAAUGCCCAUGAUCAGGAAACCAUGAUCAUCUAUUGAUCAACGAGCUAGCCAACUAGAGGCUUGCUAGGGACACAUUGUGAUCUAUUUAUUCACACAUGUAUUACUGUUUCCUGUUAAUACAAUUAUAUCAUGAACAAUAGACAAUUAUCAUGAACAAGGAAAUAUGAUAAUAACCAUUUUAUUAUUGCCUCUAGGACAUAUUUCCAACACCGGCCCCUCAGCAGCCAGCCCCUCGGCAGCCGCCCCCCUGACGCGGGCUAGGGCCGGUGUCCACCGACCAUGUCUGCGGUACUCCAGCGACGAGUACCUUCUUGCAGCAUACACCUCCGAGCUGUCAUCACUUCCUGUUUCCGUGCGGGCAGCCCUCCGUGAUACUCAUUGGCUAGCCGCAAUGCAGGAAGAGUUUGACGCCCUUCAGCGGAACCGCACCUGGACCAAGCUCUACACGCUUGGUAUCGGCGUAUCACAGGUUUUCUACAGACACUGGGCUUCUGUGUUACUCGCUCAGAUGCCUCCUUGUUUGUUCUCCACCACGGCGACACGACUGCCUACUUGCUACUAUACGUCGAUGACAUCAUCCUCACGCCCUCUUCCGCAAGUCUUCUUUAGCAGAUUACUCUGUGACUGCGUAAAGAGUUUGCCAUCAAGGAUUUGGGUGCUCUUCAUUACUUCCUUAGGAUUGAGGUCAUUCGGUGACCUCACGACUUCUUUCUCCAUCAAUAGAAGUAUGCGCAUGAGCUGCUUGAGCGCGCUGGUAUGCUCAACUAUCAUCCCGUCGCUAGUCCUAUUGACACGAAAGCCAAGGUUUCUGCUAAGGAGGGUUUACUGGCGUCGGAUGCUCCAUUCUAUCGCUUCAUUGUUGGUGCUCUUCAGUAUCUAACACUCACCAGACCAGACUUACAGUAUGUUGUGUAGAGGGUGUGCCUCCAUAUGCACACCCCUCGUGAUUCCCACUGGACGCUCGCGAAACGGAUUCUCCGGUAUAUCCGUGGCACGAUGUCCCUCGGACUCACACUCACGGCAUCUCCCUCUUUGAAUCUGGUGGCCUAUUCUGAUGCUGAUUGGGCUGGCUGUCCUGAUACACAAUGCUCCAUGUUCGGCUACUGCGUCUAUCUUGGCCCUUCGCUCGUCUCAUGGUCGUCCAAAUGACAACCCACCGUCUCGCGCUCUAACACGGAAGCCGAGUACUGAGCAGUGUCUAACGCAGUUGCCGAGUGUUCCUGGCUUCGACAGCUUCUACACGAGUUGCAUCAUGGUGUCACCAAGGCCACAGUUGUCUACUGUGACAACGUCUUUGCUGUGUAUCUUUCUGCCAACCCCGUUCAUCAUCGCCGGACAAAGCACAUCGAGCUUGAUAUCCAAUUUGUGCGCGAACAGGUUCCCCUUGGUCACAUCCGGGUUCUUCAUGUUCCGACCACAUAACAGUUUGCCGAUGUGAUGACUAAGGGACUGCCCACUUCCACAUUUGAGGAGUUUCGUUCCAAGUCUCUGUGUCUCUGGCGACGCUUCGACUGCGGGGUGUUGAAUAUAUAUAUAUGCAUGCAUAUUGUGUCAUAGGCCCACCUCCUAGUUCCUUGUAUAGGUGAGGUAGAGACCCAUCUUAUAUCUAUAUACACGUGACUAGUGCAUCCAAUCAAUAUUGAGUGUUGUACAGACCAAACCUAAUUCUCUAUAGAUCGAGGCCCAAAGUCUUUACCUAUUAAUAAAGCAUCCAAUGCUUCUGUCGUCCAUCUAGAAAAAUACCCUCAAAGUUGCUACAAAUUACCAGCCAUGCCACCCGUAACUCAAGCCAACGGUUCAUUUUUCCAAAGUCGCGUCGUGCUAAGUUAUUUUAUACCGCAAUACUAAUGAAAACCAAAGAUGUAUGAGUAGUAGAGUGGCUAACGCCUAGCCCUUUCACCCUAGAGACCAGGGAUUGAAUCCCGGAUGCUACUAUUUUUCUUCCUUUUCUCCAGCACCCCCUACCCCACACACAUAUGCGUUAAUGGGCCGGCCCAUGUGCGGGGCUUAACUCCUCUAUUUUUCAUUUGAUUUUUUUUCUUUCCUUUUCUCAUUAUGUUUUCUUUCCUUCUUUCAACCAAUUCAGGAUUUUAAAUCUUAAAAAGUUGCGAUUUUCAAAACCAUGUUUAAGAACUCAUAAAAUGUAUAUGAAUUCAAAAAAUGUUAAGGAAAAUCAUAAUUUUUUUGUGGAUUAUAAAAAUGUUGGUAGUUUUGCAAAAUUGUUCACCAGUUAUAAAAAAAUAUUCAGGAAAUAAAAGCAUGUUCAUGAUUUUGAAAAAUGAUAGUGUAUUGAAAAUAUAUUAAGAAUUCGAGCUCGGUNNNNNNNNNNNNNNNNNNNNNNNNNNNNNNNNNNNNNNNNNNNNNNNNNNNNNNNNNNNNNNNNNNNNNNNNNNNNNNNNNNNNNNNNNNNNNNNNNNNNGAGGCGUUGGUGGAUCGGCACGUACCCCUCCGCCCACGAGGCCACGCGUGCCUAAGACGUGGCGGUGUGGCGUGCCGAAAGGCCUCGGGAGCACCUCAACUUCCCAGAUGUCGAGAGUCGGGUGGAAGCGGAGAUGCUUGUGCCGCCGGGCAUCAAGAUGAAGGAGAUCACAACGAAGAAGAAGUCGUCGAUUGUCGUCAAUGCCGACGAGACCGACGAGGAGGCGAUGGCGAGGUUUGCUCGGGAGCAUCCGGAGUACGUCCAGGCCGAGCUGGAGCACUACUGGAAGCGUGAGGCGGAGCAGAAGAAGAAGGAGGACGAGGCCGGUCCCUCGACGGUGAUCCCCAUCGAGUCCUCUUUCGAGGAGGACUGGGCAGACUUCUCAGAGGAGGAGGAGGAGGGGUGCGACGACCCAAAGAAGGAGGAGUUCUGGGAGCAGUUCCGCAGCUCCGACGAUGAGUAGUUUAUCUAGUACUUUCAAGUAGUAGUUGAAGUUCAUGUAUGAAACUAUGUUGAAUUUGAUGUUUGAACUAUGUUGAAUGGACUAGUAGUUUGUCGUUUUAAGAAAUUUUAAUCUUCAUUUCGGACCAUCUACUAUUGAAGUUGCUCUUUUGGACCAUCUGUUGGAGUUGUGCUUUUUUCGAGCUCUAAAACGCAUUUUUUGACGGUCCAAAUUUUACAUCAUCGGUUUUGGACCGUCAAAUUUUGAACCAUCUACUGAAGAUGCUUUUAGGCACAGGGAAGAUUCAUACAGACAAGUGGGUCAUUUUUGUUGCUCCACACCGGCCGGCCGCUGAAGCUCAAUGCACUCUGUAGCUUUGAUGGCACUGACACGGUUCAAGAAAAGAAAAAUGUGUGCAAAUUGACUCGCAAUGCACUUUAAAUUUAUUUAUUUCUCACCAGUUUGUUUUUGCGUUUCGAAAUUAGAUUAUCCAAGCGAUUAUGCCCAGGGAUUAUACCGAAUAUGGUGUGAGAAAUGUCUCGCGUUAUCCAGAAAAACUUUUUCGUUUCCAUGCCAUGUUGGAGAGCAAGCUCAUAAGCCCACGAAACUCAGUACUGUCCUACCGAUGCAACCAGGAAGAAGCUGGAGAUCCUCACUAGUAUAUCUACAGCCCAACGUAUGGGGAAGGAGCUACUCCAACGCUGGUGCAAAGCAAGUGUCCAUCCUUCUUUUCUGAAAGUAGAAGCAGGCAUCCUCUGUGCCUUCCUAAUGUAACAAGACGUUUUGGCGCUUCAAUUUAAACGGAUGCGCUACUGCUACUAAUCUCCAUCUUCACAAGAGUAGCCGGCCAACCAGCUCAGAGCUCACCAUGUCCCUCUGUGACUCGCUAAAACGGCGCGCCCUGCACAAACAGCGGCCAACAAACCUUAGCCAACAUCCUCAAGGUGCCAGAAGCAAAAUGGGCCGCCGCACAAUGCUUCUCAAGCAUCCAUGUAGUUUGCCACGUACCGUCAUCAUGAGAUUCGGUGGAAUGUGCGCACCCUAGGAGCCAUCCAUCUCCACGACCACGGGAGCAAACUGCAUUCGGAAAAGAAGAAGAAUAUCAAGCAAAUCAAAUGUAGCAGAGACUAGCGUUGUCUUAUUGUCCUCUUUUUUUUCUGUUCUUUUUUUUUUUGAAUUGUUGCUUGUUCAUGAUCCGACUUACCUCGUCGUCCUCAUCGAUAAGGUUCGCAGCAUUGUUCUCGAGAUCCCAUCCGAACGUGGUCUCCAGGAGCAUCUUAAGUUUCCUAGCCUGGAUAUGAAAGGGGAGAUGUUACAAAUAUCCACCUUCUUAGAAUUUUUCCACAAAGUGCACAGCAGUAAUAUAUGACAUAUAUCCUCAACAUUUUUUCAGCGGCGACAGUUAGUGCUGCUCAAUUGGUGCAUGCUAUACUGCUAUUGGUUUCAACUUACUGAUCCAAUAUUUCGUUAUUUAUGCAUCAUAAUCCAGUGCCUUAUAAAUAACCAAAUCGCAAUUCAUGCAUGGGCUGGUGAGAUAGCAGAAAAACAGGAAGGGCACGGCCUCGCUUAUGCUGCCAGGGUACAUGUAAACAGUUAAGAGAGAGAGAGAGAGAGGAUUCGAGAAUGCUAACCCAUGACAGAAGGUCUCCAUCCACGACUUGAGCUUCAAAUAUUACUGUCAAGAAAUCCUGACAAGGACAGUUGAGAGAAAUAAAUUAUUUUGCAGACAAGAAAAUUCAAAUACAAGAUAUCAAACAUAUUUUGGAAGUAUAUGUAAGUAACUCUGAUUUUCCAGAGUCACAAUUUCACAAGCUACGGGGAACAAAAUUAACACUGCUGGCUUGUUUAUUAUGUGUAUGAUACGUCUCGGUAUAUGAGCCGUUUUAAGCAUUAAACAGGAACAAAUACAAUCAGAAGCUAGAGCAAAAGGAUAACAAAUGGCAUAUGAUGAAAUACUACAACCAUUCCAAAGUAGACCAUGAAAGUGAUAUAGCUGAAAAAAGAGUUCACCCAGCUACAUUUAUCUGAGCAAAGUUAACUUACUGUUUACUUUCCAGAGUUCCAGCAGUUCAACAGUUCUUGUUGUUUACAUAAUUACAUAUGCCAGGGCCGAAAGGUGUUGCCAUAUGAAUAGAAUAAGAAUAAAAAAACUGGACAGGAACUUUACUGAGCAAUUACUUUCCCUUCACAACAGUAUCAAUAGUGGACAAGAAAACAAAGUCAUGGAACUGAUAAUCAGAUGUAUCAGGGAAACUAAUCUUACGGUAAAGUGACAUUGGAUAUCUGUCUUCAGAGGUGUGUACAACUAGAUAUCGCUACUAACAGCACUGUCCAUGAAGAUUAUAACAAAUUACCUUCGAAAGCCGGUAAAGAAAUAUGUCUCUUGAAAACCAUGCUUCAUCCAGAAACAAAGAGUUGCCCUUGUCGUCACUACUUCUGGAAUCAUGUGUACGUUGAAAGCCAUGCUUGAAUUGAUAGUAAAUAACCCUUAUAAACUGCACACAACAAAACGAGACAUACGGAACUCCUUUUAGUCCUCAAGGUUCAACUGCAUUGCCUGCUGAAUUCAACGAAAAAAUGCCUCGGGUCAAAAAGUGAACAACAAAUACGGUCACAUGAUACCUUUACAAACAUUUGUGUCCUUGUAUGAAGUGGCUGCCAGGGAGAAAGAGACAAAGAAUUAAUUAAGAAUAUAAUCACUUUGGAUCAGAAAAGAGAGAAUAUAAUGGCAUAUACUACAUAGUGCAGAUGUGCAAUAUAUUUUCAAAAGGAUCACAUCUCGAUAUCUCUUUUUUUUUCAUUUCCCCACACUUUCCAUAUCAAGUAUACACUACUUUAUACUACACUAACAAUGGGCUGUUAAAACUUAGAACACAGUAUAUUCAAGGAAUUUGACUGAAUCACAUAUAGAAGCAGCUUAAUCGAUAUACGCUCUGAGAUGGAGUUCAAACUAUGAUUUGCUUGCGUAACAUAUCUCGCUUUAAAAUGGAACGAAGAAAAAAGGCAUGGUUGCAAGCAAAGCACUGAUAGUAAAAUGUCAAACCAAGGCGGGGACCAAAAGAAAAUUUGGUAUAGGCCCAACAAAUAAUGAUGUCACGGUAUUUAGCAGUUCAACUGUGAAUAUAUUUAGGUAAGAUUGCUUCUUGACCAGACUACCACCAGAUUUUCACAAACUGUUAUGGGGCUGUACUGUAUACCAGAACCUGGUCAGUUUCAGUUUCUCACCCUGAAACUUGGUUUAAUCUCUCAGGUUUGCAAUUUGUUCACCAGCAUCCAACCUUCUUUGGGAUCAAAAGGAAUAAAUAAUAUUGAGCCAAAAGGGGUUAUUUGAGGGCUGAAAUGGGUCAGAGUUCUGAAAAGCGAGCCAGGGUCAUUUGGGUAACCAGCUAGUUCCAUAUGAUUUUCCAAACCCAGAAUAGUAAAUACUACAGAGGAGAUGGAUGUAUACGUUUUAACCAUCAAUACUGAAGGAGCAAGAAUAAUGAUGCUACAUGAGAUAGAAAAUAUUAGUACUUACAGCUUCACUGCAGCUCAAAAGAAGACUGACUAAUGCUUUCCACUGCAUAAACGCCUCCAGCGACUGUCCCAUCUACACAACUCAAAUACAUUAGAGAACAGAGCCACAUAAUAAAUAAGACGUAUUAACAAUUGUUUAGUUUUGCUUGCAGUACCAUAAACGCUAUGAACGAGAACUGCAGCUCCCCCAAGAGUAAAUCUUCUUGGCCUUGAUAAUUUUUGGCCAGGACAGUCUCCAGCAAGCUUGUCUGAGAUGAGAAGUAGAACAGACUCGUCAACAAAUAUAGGUACAGCUUGUUAACUCAGUGUUUUCUACGCAUGGGAACCUAUAAGAGGAAUUAAUUUGAGCAAAACACCAGUAGCGGCAAGCUAUGAUGCCUAUUUGCAGAUUCUAGUAUAAUUGAUGGAAUUGUGAUUGAAUGGACAAAAGGCAGCAAACUAAUGUUUUCCCAUUGCUUUUAGUUGCUGUGCUAACUGGCCUGUACUAUUCAAAUUCAGGUUGUUGCGUUCACAUGUAGCGCCAAACAUUUUCAAAUUGUAAUAGAGACGUGUUCACAUCAGACAAGGUAUUGCUGCAGGAAAUAUAUUGUGGGAAAAGGAAGAUAUAAAAAACCAGGUACAUGCUGAUAAGAUUAGCUGUACCAAACAAUAUAAUAAGAGCAUUACUCUGUCCAAAUUCAGCAAAGUCAGCUCAUCUGCAGAAAUGUUCCUGUGUUUAACCGAAGCAGGGAUAGUUGUGUAGUAGCAUCCUCUCCGCUCAGGCUGUGUGGGGGCUUUCUUUGCAAAUUUGUCCUCUCUAAGUUGUUCCAUUAAUCGUCUCUCCAUCUCUGUUUGGGGAGCUCUAUCCAUCCAUGAUGUCUCCAAUGCAAUUGUAAUUUCCCCACCAAUUGGCUCUGUACAAAUCAAGACACAUAAUCACUAAUUCCUUCAUCGAUUCUAUAAAAAAUGUCAUAACUAAGGGCUGCCCCAUAAGGCUAUAACUACUAAGGGUACGAGAGAAAAUAGAGCUUACCAAGGCGUUCGAUAACACUUUGUGAUAAGUAGCUUGAAAGUUGUUUCCAGUCACCAAAAGAGUCCAAAUUGUAUGGUCCAAGCUGAUCAUCAAACUCGAAACGUUUUACUGCUUCAGAGUAUCUGAUUUCCUACCAGAAAACAAACUUUAGUAUCAUUGCCCGAAGAUAAAUCAAAUGCAUCUCUAGUUUGAGUUGUGCUAUGUUGUGCCAGUCAAUAACAGCAAGGUCAUCUACGUCGAAUAUGCUGCAAUUUUGACACACCGGACAGAUACACUUUAUGCAUUCCAUAUUUCAUAUACUGAUUAUACAACAGCUGCAAGGAAGACAAGUUGAACAUAAUUUAGGGGCAUUUUUUAUAUGGUGCAGAUCCAGUAGAUUAGGCAUUUAGGUUUAGUACUAAUCCUAUUGGGGCAAUACAACCUCUGUUUUUAUCAUCAACUGAAUUAAUUAUUUGUAAGGUUAUUGCCUUUUAACACUGGUUACCGUCCCAUCCAGUACCAGUAUAGUCUCAAGUGAUGUACUGUGUGUAAGAAGCUAAGGGAACUAUAUGGAUGUUACAAACAUAUGAGAAGAUAAAGCAAUAAGGUGGCCUGCAAUAUAUCAAAUAUUCCAAUAUGAUCAAAGAUAUCACCUCCUCUUCUGAUAAUUUCACUAAUCUCUCCUCUUGCGCAUGCCAUUUUCGAACGACCACCUGGAAAAAUCAGGCCAGAGAUGAGUGCAAGUAAACAAGCAAUUAUGUGUAACUAUUAGAGAGUUCUGACAGCUAAAAUAUCCAACCGCUAAAAAAUUACAACACAGAAUGAGAAAUUUUGUUUGGUUCUUGUCUUUCGCAAGUAUAGUACACCUUCCAAGUGCAUUGGUUUCCUAACUAUUUUUCACCCACCACUCUAUGGACAGGAAAUGUGAAGCUUGAUACAUAAAUAGACAUGAGGCACUCUGAGUUAUGUGAUUCAGACUGAGAUAUACAUGUAAUUGUAGUUUUAAGAAGUUACAACAUCAGUUAUGCCACAAACUGUCAAACUGGAGUAGACAAUAAAAGGGGAACAUAUAAACUAGAGAGAUGUAAUACGAGACUAUCUGCCUGAAACGGGUGCAAUAAAAGGAGUACCUGAGACGGGUGAGUGGUGAGGAAGAAUCCAACAGUAGGUGCAAACUCAUUCCCAUGCCUGAAAGGGUUGAAGAUAGUGGAUGAAUGAUCAGUACGUGGGGAUAUCGCUUUCCACGGCAUAACGGCAUCAUCCGUAACCGAACAAGGUCAAUCAUGAGAGCAUGUGAGUAAAAUGAACAAACUGCUUGACAAAUGUAAGAGUGGACAGCAGUUUUCAGGAAACGGGUUAAGGGGUCAUCAAACAGAAGAGGGGAACUAGCCCAUAAAGCGAGCUUGGAUCUAGUAGCGUGGCAUGAAACUUGUUGUCGAUACAGGCAUACGGCAGGCUUGCAUUGCAUCAUAUAUAUAUCUAUACUCUAGUGCAUUGUCACCAGAAUAGAAUCGCUGAUACUUGUACAGCAGCAGCUAAAGAAUUUGAUAGAUGGUAGAAACAUUUCUUUCUUUGCAUGAAAUCAAAUCGUUAAGGCCUUGUUGGGUUAAUCCCUUCCAGAAGGGGAUUGGAGGGGAUUUAGGUGGAAUCUGACUUAUAGGGGAUUUAAUCCCUCUCAAUCCCCUCCAAACCCCUUGAAAUCUGAAGAAACCGAACAAGGCCUAAAAGGGUUGGUGGUUAGACAUGUUUUGUAACUUGGUACGUACCUGCUGGGGGAGCAGUAGUGGAGGAAGUGCGGGCCUGGGGGCACCAUCUUGAUCCCUCUGAACCUGGGGCCGACCGACAAGACCUUGAGGAAGCAGCAUGGAAAGGAAAACCCGAUGCAUCAAAUCGAAUCGAAUCGAAUCGAAUCGAAGCAGAGCAUGGAUGGAUGUCAAACCCGAUGCAUCAAAUCGAAGCGUAGCGGAGCAUGGGGGGCGUGGCGUACCUGGGUGUCGACGCCGAGGACGGUGUGCUGGGGCACGUCGAGGAGCAGGAUGGUGACCCCCUUCCGCGCUAGCUCCGUGGCCGCCUCGGGGUCCAUCCUCCGCGCCGCCAUGGCGGCCAGCUCUCGGCGUCGCUCGCUGCUCACCGGCGGCGGUGGGAGGGGAGAGAGGCAGGAAGCGAGCCGCCGCCUGGACAAGAGAGACGAUGGGCCCAAAUCCCUUGCAAGGCCUUCCAGCACAUUCGCGCCUCAAAAAAAAAAAAAAACUGAUUCGUGCUCAUGUGUCAUGUGGUUAAAUCCGGAUGUACACUUGUAGAUUAACUAGAAAAAGGCCCGUGCGUUGCAACGGGAGAAAAAAAUUCAUAAUCUCUAAUUGUGAUAAUCACAUUAUGUUCUUAAAAUUUUAGGACACUUUUUGAAAUGCAUGAACAUUAUUUGAAUUAUGAUAAAAAUGACAAAGUAUGUUUUGUUAAUUAAUGAUAGCAUAUGCAUAAAAAUAUUAUUUUUAUUUUGCUGAUAUAUGUGUUUGCAUUUGUGAUCUAAGUAAAGUCUUAAUUUGGUUACAAACAUAUUAGAUAGCUUCAUCGAAAACAAUCAAUUUGUAAGUACAUGCAUACCAAAUGUUCCAGGUUGCGUAUGAAUAUCGAUAUUCUUAAAAAAAUAAUUAGAGAAAUAGUUUCUAUAUAUGAAUAAUCAAAGUUAAGCCAUUUUUUUACGUAAAGCUUGUAUAAACAACAUUGUAUAUUUUUUAUACGUUAGAAAUAUUCUUUUGCGUGUGACGUCAGAAACAUUAUUGAGUUUUGAUGUCUAAUUUUUUUAAUACACAUUUUACAUAUUUUGUAUGCAUCAUGAACAUUUUUUCUAUACAUGUUUUACAUUAUUCAAAUACACUAUUAACAUUUUUGAAAAGUUCUAUUUUUUAUGUCUACUUUGUUCCAUGUACAUUAUAUAUUUUUUAUAUGUUUUCUUAUACAACGGAAACAUUUUUCUAUGCACAUUUAAAGUUUUUUAAAUACAUGAUUAAUAUUUUUCAAAAUAAAAGAAAAAUAUAUUAUUUACUGUCCACACGCACUGUACAUUUUUUUGUAUAUAUGGAAAUUUUUUGUCUAUAAAUUUGACAUUUCUUUAACCUAUGAUUAACAUUUGUGCAAAGUUUAUCGAAAUAAAGGCAAAAGAGAAAAAAAGUAGAAAAAUGCGAAAUAGAAGAACAAAAAGGGUUUUCUGCCGCGAUAGGGAUCGAACCUGGGUCUCGAGGGUGGGACAGCACGCACCCAACCGGUUCAACUAACCUUGUACUUCUGAUAAAAUACGGAAAGCACGUGCUUUAGAAAGAGCCGAGUCGAAGUUCAAAUAACGAAUAGUUUUUGUCACUUACGGGUGGCAUUGGUGUUUAAUUUUGACGAACUUUAGGGAUAAAUUUAAUGACGUACCACAAAAGCAAUAGGUGCUUUAUUAGUAGGUAUAGAAAUUCGGAUGUACAUAAUCCCUAGUGGAGGGGAUCCCUCGUGGGCCCUGGGAGAUUACUGUGCAUUCUAAGGACAAUUUUUUUCUUGGAGUCAACUAUGCAGCAGUGCCGCAUGCUCGUGCUCCCAUGCGGCGGCCCGCAUGCACAUGCAUCACCGAAAGAUUCUCUCUAACUUUUGAAAUUCAAAAGGUUUUAUCUUUAAAACCGCUAAUUCAAUCGAUGAUCUGUUUUCAUCGUUGGCUUUGUCACGACAAGAUCUUCGAAACUAGAUUCCAUGUUGACAUGUUUCGACAAACUUUUUUUUUCCUUUCGUAAUUGCCACAUUGUUUCACUCAGUUGCGAUAUUAUUAACCACUUACUUGCCCAAUAAAAAUAACUUAAUUGCCAUAUUUUUUGAUGUCGUUUCGUGCAAAGAUUGUUGAUCUCACGUGGUCAUACUUAUUUUUUUUGCUCGUACUUAUCACAUUUGCUGCACUUACUUGUCAUAUUAGUAAGUAAUUCCUCCGUCUCAAAAUAAGUGACUUAGAAAUGACUCAAUUUUACACUACUUUUUGAGUCACUUAUUUUGGGACGGAGGAAGUACUAAGCAAGCGUAGUUGCAAAAAAUCUAUACACACGGUUGUCAAGUUGACAACAAAGUUAAUUAAAUGUGGCUAUUAAGUGUCUCAUAAUCUAACAAUUAAAUAAUAGUAAUCUGGCAACUAUCGACGAAAAAAAAGUUGUCGAAACAUGUCGACAUGGGAUCUAGUUUUGAAGAUCUCGUUGCUAGAAAGCUAACGGCGAAAACGGAUCGUCAGUUGGAUUUAUAGUUUAAGAGAUAAAAGUUUUUGAAAAUUCAACAUUAAAAGAAUCUUUGCUAAUGUGUUUGUGUACUAGUUUGCAUGCAUAAAGGUUGUCUUCGUGUCCCGCCGCAUGCCAAGGCAGCCGUGCACACGCUGCUGAUUAGAAUUUCCCUUUUUCUUUUGACCUAUGAGGCUAAGAAAAUCCAGAAUUGACCUCAUUUUUAUAAAAAAAAUCCAAUCUAACCUCCUUUCAUGAUGCCAACAUCCCUGACGUCUGGUUUGCAAUGGAGAUGCCAAGGAUAUUGGUGUCAUGAAAAAAGUUAAAUUGAGAUUUUUUUUAAAGGAAGGUCAAUUCUGGAUUAUUAUUUUUAGCCUUAUAGGCCAAAACAGAAAAAUUGCCCCAUUCUAGUAAGCCUUGGUUGGAUAUUUUGCCAGCCACCCCCCUCCAAACCAAGGGGGGAAUUUCAGUGUCAACAUACAGGAGAAGCCUUCAACGACCUACCACGAAGCUUCAAACAAUCCAAAGUUGCUCGAGUUUUCCGAGCUCCGUUUUUCUCAUGCACCUAUAAAAAUUCAAGCAUCUCUAACUCAGACUUUUUCUUUUUUGCUAUUUAUUUUUAAAUCACGGUGCCCCUGGGCGCAAAAAUGCCGUACUCGACUCGCCAAUCACAGACAAGAAGAUAAUGAUAUAUAUCAUUCUCUAGGAAUGCCAAUGUUCACGAAAUGAAGGGAGAAACUCGGUAAAAUCUGGUUCAAGAUCACUACACAGGAUACUAUCAACAAAACAAGAGUCUCCAUGACAGCUCAAUUCAAUUGCCGUUCCAUAUAUAAUUCCAACGGUAACAUAACAACCGCCCCAACAUGGUCCGCACGGAACCAUAACGAAGCUAUUUAAUUAACACGCAAAUACACCAAAAGAGAACGAUAAUGUAUAGGGGCUUCUUCCGUCCCCUACUAUUUAUUACAGUUUCUACAUGUUCGAAACACAGAAUGCCCAAGGCUUAUUAUCUUUUAUUUAGAGGAAAGCCAAAGGCAUAUGAACACAACAGACUUUUUCAUUUGUUUUUGUUGUCACAAAUGGAGAUCGCAAUGAUAUUGUGCGAUUCAUGGUACGAUAGAGUUGUCAUUGCGGCGGAGAAAUGGAACGAACUGAUUGGGACUCCCAACCUCCAGCUUGGCCAGCAGUUGCUGCAGACACUCUUGUACUGAAGGAUCAUCCUGUGUUUCCAGCAAGAAAAUAUAGUCAGUUUCACAUUGCAAUCUUGCGACAUCUACUUCACUGGACCAAAAUGAAUCUUGGGAGCAGUACUAUUAUAGCACAAGUAUCAAGACUCACCAGAUAGUCAUUGAAUGUCCCAUUUUGUAGCACGAUGGGAAGCCUUGUUUUAAACACCGCACGACCCCUGCAUCAGAGAGAAGACAAAAACAACAUUGGUACUACUUGAUAAGGAUAGGCGUGAAAAGAUAUCACAACCAUGGGAAUGACAGCAGGUACAAACCUAGGAUGGUCAAAUAGCCUAAGGUAACAACGGACAAUGCACUUCAGCAGCCUUGCCGAAGGUCGGGCAUCUCGUGAGGAAACCAUUUCUUGUAAAGCAAAAGCAAUCUCAUAGAAAGGACCGUGAGUGUUACAACAGUGGUGCAAACCAACAUCGUUUAGCAGAAGCUUUAGGAGAAUGAAAGUGGACACCUGCAAAAUGAAUGGGCAAUGGUCAUAGAAAUUAGCAAAAUGAGUGUCCAUUCGUUAUGGGUCUUAUUUCUAGGAUUUGCUUCUACUUUAACUUCACCUGCAACAAGAGACAAGCUCAUGAUACUUAACUUGUGUCGAUUAUUAGAAGCAAAGAGGUGUUGCAAGGAAAAUAACAAUGUUACGUAUAAUUGUUGAGAUGACGUGGUGGAAGUAUAUCUGCUACAAAAGCAGUUGGAUAGUUGCCAUGAAAAUAUAGCGCAGGUAGUUAUUACAACUUUUAGUUACAUGUUAACUGCAUACUUCACGUGAUGGUCACUCGUACUGGAAGAUCCCAUCGGGGCCACACAUGCUUCGGCUGAGAUCACGCUCGCCAGCCAUGCGACGGAUCCCCAGCCAGAAGCCCAGACCGCGCCAGUCUCGCCUGCCGCUCGGUCGGGCCAAAGCUGCGCAAUCCCCACCGUGGCGCGGGCCCCGCCUGACGCCUCGGAUCAGACGCCGCGGGCCAGAGCGGGCAGCGCUUUACCACGCGUGGGAAACCCUUCGGAGCCGAUGCCGCACGCCAGCGCGGGAAGCGCCUUGUCGCUUGUCGCCAUCCACCCAGUCCUGGCUCCUGGGCCCACAGCAGGGACGCCCACCACCGAGCAGGCCACGCCCGAGCCAGCUCCGCCUGGGCCGCCCUCCCCCUAGCCCACUCCUGCAGCGGCUGGUGAAGCCCCAGGCCGACCCGGCCCAGCCCCGAUCACCAUCCUGCAGCGGCCCACUCGCCCUGAUCGGGAGGGCUCUGAUGUAGCACCGCGCGUGACUGCGCCGCGUCGGUUUGCCUCGCCCCCGAUCACCCUGCGUCGAUCGCGCAGCCAGCUAACCCCGGUUACUUCCUCCUGGACGCUGGGGCAAUUCUUGUCUGCAGCCACGAAGCAGCUCAACGCUGCCCUACUGUCCCCUGGGAAACGCCAGCGACCACCACUGAACUUCAGCCCGCGGCGGGGACGGUCGGCUUCGGCUCACACAGCAGUGGCUACGCCGCCAAAGGCCGAGAGGCGCGCCCAAGUGCAGAUCCUCCGCACCCUUGGCAUAGUUGGCAUCAAUCAGCCCAUCUCCGCUGCUGCGAUGAAGGUAUACGACGACCUAUUUGCCACGCCACUGCAGAUGUCGGUCAUGCAGGCUAUCGCGGCCCUCGUCGACAGGGAGCUCCCGGCCUGUCUGACGGCCGUGCCCAGCACCGCUGCAGCCUGUGCGAGUUAGCAGCGCCGCUCGCCACGCGUCGACACCUUGUUCAUGGAUCACGGCUUGCAGAUUGUUGUAUGGAAUGUUAGAGGCCUUAACUCACGCGCCAGGCGCUGCGCGAUUCGAUCGUUACUCUCUACCACCCGCGCAUCCACUGUAUGCCUGCAAGAAACUAAGAUGGCUUUGAUCUCGUCGUCUGUUGUGCUGGAAACGCUUGGGUUUGAAUUUGAUGGGUCCACUUACCUCCCGGCCGAUGGCACGCGCGGCGGCAUUCUCCUGGCUUGGAAAACUAGGGCUGCCACGCUCUCUGACCUUCAGUUCACGCAGCACGCGGUGACUGCGAAGGUGCGCGCGCCCAAUGGCAACCCCUGAUGGCUCACCACGGUCUAUGGGCCCCAAAGCGACCAGGACAAAUUGCUGUUCCUGCAAGAGCUGCGCGACAUUCGCGAUACUAGCCCAGGCCCAUGGAUGUUGUGUGGGGACUUCAACUUGAUAUGUCGUGCCUCGGACAAAAGCUCGGGCAACGUGAACCACCGCAUGAUGGGUAGAUUCCGCCGCGUCAUCAACAACCUUGCCCUCAAGGAGGUUUACCUCAAUGGGCGUCGUUUCACGUGGUCCAACGAGCAAUCCCCUCCUACGCUCGUGCGCCUCGACCGGGUGCUCUGCACCACCGACUGGGAGGACAGUCAUGGCGAGUGCCACCUCCGCUGCCUGGCAUCCGUUGUCUCCGAUCACUGCCCUCUGCUCCUAGACUGCUCGCCCAUGCCAUCAGCUCACAAGCGCUUCCACUUCGAGGAGUUCUGGAUGCGCCUCGACGGCUUCCACGACACGGUUGUCGCGGCCUGGGGCUCGGUCUCCGACCCAGACCCCUUCAGGCGGCUGGUGCGGCGACUGCAGGCUACGGGCCGCGCCCUCACGAGCUGGAGCGCCAAGUCCACGGGCAACAUAAGGGACAAGCUUGCCAUCUCUCGCGAGCUUAUCAUGCGCUUCGACCAAGCCAUGGAGACCCGCACGCUCUCCCCACCGGAGGAUUGGCUGCGCAAGCAGACCAAGCUCUCCUACCUGGGCUUGGCUUCGCUUGAGCGCACUAUUGCCCGAAAGCGUGCUCGCAUCUCCUCCCUCUCGGACGGCGACGCGAACACAAGCUUCUUCCACAGGCAAUGCACUUAUCGGCGGCAGAAAAACAGAGUGUACAGCUUGCUUGUUGAUGGGCAGACGAUCAGCGACCACGACGAGAUGGCCCAGGCGGCCUUUGUCCACUUCGACGGGCUGCUGGGCACAGCGGCCGACCGCGCCCACACGCUGGACUUUGAGCACCUCAUCCAGCCAGCUGAUCUGUCAGGCCUAGAGGCGCCGUUCAGCCCCGACGAGAUUUGGGAGGCUGUGCGGCGCAUGCCGGCGCAUAAGGCACCGGGGCCGGACGGCUUUACCGCGGAGUUCCUGCGAGCGUGCUGGAGCACCAUUAAGCAGGACGUGCUUGAGGUCUUUGAGCAGCUCUAUGCGCUGAGAGGGCGUGGAUUCCACAGGCUCAACCAAGCACUGCUUACCUUGCUGCCAAAGCGCUCCGAUGCUCACAAGCUCGGCGACUACCGCCCGAUCUGCCUGAUACAUACUGUGGCUAAGCUCUUCGCGAAGGUCCUUUCCCUACGCUUGGCACCGAUGCUCGACGGCCUAGUGAGCCGCUAUCAGAAUGCCUUCAUCGCCGGACGUACACUCCACGACAACUUCGUCCUAGUCCGGCAAUCCCUCAAGCUUCUGCACCAACUGGGCGCGCCGAGGAUCAUGCUCAAGCUCGACCUCACCCGGGCCUUCGACUCCAUAUCUUGGCCCUUCCUCUUCGAGGCCCUGCACCAAUAUGGCUUCGGAGCGAGGUUCCGGGAGUGGCUGGCCAUCCUCCUCUCCUCGGCUAGCACCCGCGUCUUGCUCAAUGGCAUGCCGGGACCCCCGAUCUGGCAUCGCCGCGGGUUGAGGCAGGGUGACUCGACAUCCCCGCAGCUCUUCGUGCUGGCCGUCGACACGCUCAGCCGCCUCAUGCAACGGGCGCUCCAGGCCGGCAUCCUCCGGAGACUACACCCCCGACGCAACAUCCCGGCUAUCUCGCUUUACGCCGAUGAUGUGAUGUUGUUCUGCCACGCCUCGACCGACGAGGUCCUCGCUGUGAAGGGCAUCUUAGGGAUCUUCGGCUCCGCCUCCGGCCUGCACGUGAACUACGGCAAGAGCUCCGCCACCGCACUACAUGGAGAUGAGUCGACCGCCGAAUCACUGGCGAUUCUGGGCUGCCAGACAGCGGCUCUGCCCAUCACGUAUCUGGGUAUCCCCCUCUCCACGCGCCGCCCCACCGCGGCUCAGAUGCAGCCCCUAGUCGACAAGGUGGCCGGCCGCCUACCAUCUUGGAAGGCAUGGCUCAUGAACAAGGCCGGGCGGUUGGCGCUCGUCAAGUCUGUGCUCAGCGCCAUCCCCGUCCACCAGAUGCUCGCCCUAGCGCCCCCGAAGAAAACUUUGAAGCAGCUUGAGAAAAUUCAGCGUGGGUUUCUCUGGGUCGGGCGCGAGGCGGCCCACGGUGGCCAUUGCCACGUGAACUGGCGACGGGUAUGCCGGCCGCUGGAGUACGGCGGCCUGGAUGUCCGAGACCUAGAGCGCACGGGGCUGGCCCUUCGGCUCCGAUGGCUAUGGCUCUCACGGACGGACACUAGCCGAGCAUGGCACGGCCUGGACCUGCAGUUCACCCCCGAGGAGUAUGGCCUCUUCUAUGCCUCCACCACCAUGCAGAUUGGAGACGGAUCGACUGCGCUCUUCUGGGAGGACCGAUGGCUCCUCGGCCUCUCCAUACGUGAGCACGCGCCCUCGCUAUACAUGUGCAUCCCCAAGCAUCGCAGAAAGUCCAGGACGGUGGCAGCAGGCAUAGCCGGCAAUGCCUGGGCGAGGGACAUUCACGGCACCAUUGGCCUCCAGGAGAUUGGGCAGUAUCUCCAGAUCUGGCAGUUGGUGUCCCGCAUCACCCUCGCCGCAGAGCCGGACACGCUCUCCUGGAAGUGGACAGCAAGCGGCAGCUACUCAGCCAGGUCUGGCUAUCUAGCCACCUUCCACGGUUCGAUCACUUGCCGGUCCUGGAAGUUGAUCUGGAAGGGUUGGGCCCCUCCAAAGGUCAAAUUCUUCCACUGGCUCGCCAAUCAGGACCGUUGUUGGACUGCGGAGCGCCUUGCUCGGCAUGACCUAACGCAUCACCCUCGGUGCCUUCUUUGCGACCAGGAACCGGAGACGAUGCAGCACCUGCUACUCUCUUGCCCAUUCGCGAAGCAAACCUGGCACGGGGUCAUGUCCUGGCUGCGACUACCGGCACCUGUGCCCGACCAGGACGCCUCGCUGCAGGAUUGGUGGCUACGCGCUCGCGAUGCCACGCCUCACCCGCUCCGCAAAGCGCUGGCCUCGAUUGCGCUUCUCGUGCCGUGGAUGAUCUGGAAGCAUAGGAACGCGUGUGUAUUCGACCAUGUAACCCCAUCGCUAGUAGAGCUCGCCGAUGCGAUCAAGGACGAGUCCAGGAAUUGGGCGCAGGCAGGGGCCAAGGGGCUUAGGGUCACCCUGCCACCCACCUGGGACGUGCACUGAUCUGGUUGUAACACCUUUGUACUAGCCUCCUCGGAGGUUGUCUUCCCCUCUUUUCAAUACAAUGAAACGCAAAGUCUUUUGCGUUUUCUCGAAGAAAAAAAAUACCCGCAACCACAGUUGAUUCUCUGGGAUCCAAACCACAACUGAUUCUCAGGAAUCUGUAGCCCAAACAAUAGGGGGGCUUAAGCUUCAAAGCUAUAUCGGACAAAAUUUGUUCUAUUACUUUAAAAUUAUAUUAAACCUGCUUUUCGAUUGCCACUGUAUCCCAUGGGGAUGGAAUCCUGGUGGGGGCAAGAACGGGGGAGAAGUCUUCCUAAUAAAUUGUGUGUUGAGCAUAAGCAACAUAUAUUUUAUAUGAGAGUAAAGGUGUCUAGUUACAUACGGUUUUUGAAGGCUCAUUGCCUAUCUCCAUGAUCUUCAAGCACAAAGAAAUAGUUUCAGAUUCGAGCAAAUAAACAGUAGCUUCAGUAUCCUCAUUCUGCAUGCACAUAUCACAAGGAAAACCAACUAAAUCUCAUUUGCAAAACUCAUAUUGAUAAAACAAAAACAAAAAAUAGAUCUUCGAAAUAUUAUGAUGUAUUUAAACAAAAUUAAGGUGAAUAUUGAGGAUAAUAUGCAACAAAACAAGUUUAUCCUUUCAAGCUCUUCUGGGUAACAUAUGGUGCUGUAAAUUUGCAUUCCAGCUGCACCAACACAUUAGUAUUACUAACUUGCCCUUUUUGUAGGCACUAAAAAGAGAACAUUGAGUAAAUGUAGUGAUGAUGUUGUGGAGAAAUGCCCGAGCUGCAGCACUGAGUUAGUCGGACGUGUUGGACAAGGACGGUAACAACAGGUUCAACACGUUUAUAGGAGUUUGGACGUCACAUUAAAUUGAAAAGGCAUCUAAGAACCCGACAUCCAUUAUAUAUGGACCACAUAUCUCAUAAUUAAUCAUUCAAAACAAUAAAAACCCUCUCUAUUUGGUACAUCUCAUCUUGUCUAAUUCUCUCCCAUCUCAAUCAAUGCUACCCCUCCCCAAUACACAUAAAAAUGAUAGACCCUAAUCUCAUACCCUUUAAAUCCAUGUCGUUUGGAAUCUUAUUAAUGUAAUUUAUUUCACUAAGAACCAAAUUCCAAAACAUAUGACGAUGAGUUAGUAUUUCAAAUUUAUCAACAGCUGAGAACUACAUUAUGUGGUGACAAACUGGCCAUAUUAUCUAUAUCGGUAUCUGCUAAUUUGAAGGGGAUAUAAUGUGUACACUGCGCUGUGCUAAAAACAUAACAAAUUAUUCAGCAAAAACAUAGAAGAAUCAUUACAACAAAAACUUCUCUGCAAGUUAUAAAUAAAAAAAUAUGUAACUAUAUUUUCCUUCCAUGUCGGUUGAGAUAUCCACAUUCCAUGUAGAACAAGGAUGGUAAAUCCAUUUGAAAUUCAUGCCGAGGUACAUAAGUUAAUUGACAAAUGCAUUGAAUAUUAUGUGAAACAAGCUGGGCUUUCCUAUCUAGUUUAAGACCAUGUAAGCAAUUUCAACUUCCAGCCUUCCAAGUAUGAGUUACCUUUACUAGAGCACCAAUGACACCCAAAGUGGUAAGCCGCAAGUACUCGAAAGGUUGGGCCUUGUCGACGGUAUGCAAGAAUGGGUACAGGUACAAUGGAAUAUGAGCUGAAAUACCAAUGGUUGAAAAACAAAUCAUUGACAAAAAGAUCCAAAAACUAAAGGUUUAUAGAAGUGAAAACCCUUUUGUGGCUCUAUAUCAUUUCAAGAACUAUGCCAAUAUAAAACUAUUAUUACAAAUCAACUACUAAGAUAGUAGCUAGCAAAAAUAUUUAGCCAAAACGUAUGAUAACUCACAAAGCACACCAACAGUGCAUUGAGAUCUAAUAUGUGAAGUGGUUCUCAUUACCUUUUAUGAAAGGACUUCUGGUCUCAGGGUGUGAUGCAAUGCACUGCAAUAACAAAUAAAAAUAGAAGAGGUUAAAAAAAUAUGUUACAAAAUUAUUGUGUGAAGUUCAAGGUAAUUAAGAACAAAUAUGCAUUAAAAACUUCUCUGUCGAACAUUAAACCAUGCUAUGACAGCAACAAGAAAUCAGAUAUUCUUCCAUUGUGCUUUUAUUUUUUCCUAUGUGCAUACCUGAAAAAGUGCAAGCACAUUGCAGACUCGGGUUGAUGCAGCCAACGUUAAAGUUGGAGGCGAAAGUGCAGGGUAGAUUCUUACAAUCUCCUGUUUAUGUUUCAAGUAGCCAAAUAGACCAGUGAGAUAAACUAAGAUUGGAAAUUCAAACCUUAACAAUAACCGGUACUCUCACUUGCUACAAGAAGACUGAAUAUGACCAAGAAAGACUAACUACCAUAUCAAAUCUUUUUUUUAAUAAUGCCAAAUUCAUAAAUAUAGAAGGAUAAAAUGAUUAUGACAUACCUGGACCAACGCGGCAAUUGUGCCGAAUGAGUACCACAACAAAUGAGCCAGAUCUGGAAACAUCUCCCUCUUCUAAAAUUUGAUGAAACAACAUUAUACAACAAAAUAGGGUUUCUUUGAUGAUUAUGCACACUAAUAAAUGAACAUAGAAUCGACCAUUGUUCAGUUCAGAACCAUUGCUGAAUUGAUCGGUCACUAUUGUGUUGUAUCUCUUCAUCAAAGCAGCAUUGUCUACAAGCAAAAAAGCAUCCACAUUGGAAUGGAUUCAUAUCCCUGACAACUAUUUUGUAUAGUGGUAUGCAUUCCGGGCCAUGUUUGGAUUGAGUUUACUAUGAACUAAACAACCCCACUGGACCAGAAAAUGUCACUAAGACAACGUCACUAAGGCCAUAUUUGAUAGUUUACUUUGAACUAAACAUGAGAGAGAACAAAAAAAUUGUAUUCAAUCCAAAGGCCUAAAGGCACAAUUUUUCCACUAUCCCGGGCCAGAAUUCACAACAAACAUCAGGGAUUUAGGAAGGUGAACUCUUUCUUCAAAAGGGGCGCUAAUCGGGAAAAUCAAAGGAUCACAAGAAGGACCUUAGAGAGCUCGGCGAGGGAUUUCUCGCGUAGUGUAGGGUCGCAAAGGUUGAGCACCAGAUGCUCCACCAAUGUCAUCUCUUGGUCCUUCGAUGCUUGCACCGCCUCGGUGCCAACUUUGCCGCCUCUCGCCAAAGAAGGAGAUGAAGGCAUGGACAUAGAUCUGGAGGAGGAGGAGGAGGGAUGUGGAGAUGGAGGAGCACUAUGUUUUUCUAUGGCACAAAGGAACAACAAUAAAAGCCAGUACAGGUCACAGAAGAAAAGAGUUUCUUAUUAGUAACGUAAUAAAUUACGUUAGCUUUUGGAAUUAUUUGUGUAAUGUGUGGUGCUGGGCACUACCUUUUCCUUAAUUUUAAUGGUGCUUAUGACGGUUUUGUCGUUCGUAUAACAAUCAUUGUCAUGUUGUGAAAGAAAUUUGUCUCUUACCACAGAAGGUGUAUGUUUUUUACAACUCUGCUUAUUCCCAAGCCCGGGUAAAGGAGGGUUAUGAUAGGCUUGGCGAGCCAACGUCAAAACUCAGCAACUCUUAUGGAGAUCAAACCCAAAAAAAUAGUUGGGGCGUAACCCUCUGCCAUAUCGAAACCCGGGUGUUGUGUCAAAUGGGCAAGGGUCGGCCCCUCACCCCUGGUGGCGCACUGUGUCUUGAUCUAGAUACUGUGGCAAGUGAGCAAGGAUUGGGUCAUCGCAUCUUUAGUGGCGCGCUAAAUCGGCGCCCAGGUGUAGUGGAAAAUGAGCAAGGGUCUUCGCAUUUGACUCAAUGAGUGGGAAGGGUAAGGAAGUUAGUCAGGCCUAGGAGGAUCCGCUUAGGUAGCUGGAACAUAGGGUCCCUGGCAGGUAAGCUUCGGGAGCUAGUUGAUACAUUGGUGAGGAGAGGUGUUGAUAUCCUUUGUGUCCAAGAAACCAAAUGAAGGGAACAAAAGGCGAAGGAGGUGGAGGAUACCGGCUUCAAGCUGUGGUACACAGGGACGACUGCAAAUAGAAGUGGAGUAGCCAUCUUGAUCAACAAGAGCCUCAAGUAUGGAGUAGUAGACGUCAAGAGGCAUGGAGACUGGAUUAUCCUGGUCAAGAUGGUAGUUGAGGACUUAGCUCUCAAUGUUAUCAGCACGCAAGUCCUGCAAGUAGGCCAUAAUGAGAACACCAACAGAGAGUUCUGGGAAGGCCUGGAGGACAUGGUUAGGAGUGUACCUAUUGGUGAGAAGCUCUUCAUAGGAGGAGACCUCAAUGGCCAUGUUGGUACAUCUAACACCUGUUUUGAAGGGGUGCAUGGGGCCUUUGACUAUGGCAUCAGGAAUCAAGAAGGCGAAGAUGUCUUAAGCUUUGCUCUAGCCUACAACAUGAUUGUAGCUAACACCAUCUUUAAAAAGAGAGAAUCACAUCUAGUGACUUUUAGCAGUGGUCAACGCUCUAGCCAGAUUGAUUUCAUCUUCUCGAGAAGAGAAGACAAGCGUGCUUGCCUAGAUUGUAAGGUGAUACCUGCAGAGUGUUGUUCCUCAGCAUAAGAUUAUGGUGGCUGACUUCCGCUUUCAGAUUCGUGUUCGGCGGGAUAAGCAUGCCAAAGUCGCUAGAAUGAAUUGGUGGAAGCUCAAGGGGCAUUUUGCUCAGGCAUUCAAGGAGAGGGUCAUUAAGGAGGGUCCUUGGGAGGAAGGAGAUGAUGUAGACAAUAUGUGGAUGAAGAUGGAGACUUGCAUUCGUAAGGUGGCCUCAGAGGAGUUUGGAGUGUCCAGGAGAAGUAGAAGCGAAGCUAAAGAGGGUGGUGGAACGAUGAUGUCCAGAAGGCAAUUAAGGAGAAGAAAGAUUGUUAUAGACGCCUUUACCCGGAAAGGAGUGCAAACUGUUGAGUACUAUUUAUAUAGCUAUGUAGCCUUUUGUAUUUACCUCAUUGUAUAAGGGAUUUUCUGCAUAACCUGCAUUUGUACAUAUAUAUAUAUACAGGCCUAUGGCCUCCUAGGAAUACAUGUGGCAUAUUUCCUAACAUGGUAUCAGAGCUAAGGCCUUGAGUUCAAGUCCUGGCUUUCCCAAUUUAUCCAAAAAAAUAUUGAUGCCCCCCUCUUUGUCCACACCUAUAGGCCUAUUGAGCGAUACCUCUGAGUCUAUUCAUGUGUUGAAGUGUAUAUGUGGAUUGUCUAGCCUUUUCAAUUAGUCUGGUCAACUUUUCGCACACCACAAUUCAUGUUAUUACUCCUCUGUGGCUGUCGCCGAUGCUUUUCUCCCCAAAGCUGCCACCGGUUCUCCACGUCCGCUCCACUCUGUUGCCGGUCAACCCAAGGUCGCUCCUCUCCUCCCCCAGCCUGCCCGCCUCCUCUGAAUCGAUCGCGGUGAGUUGCCUGUCUGUCUUCUCUAGAUCGAGUCGUGCCCCUCUGGAUCGAGCUCGAUCAAAGUUGACCACCUCUGGAUCGAAGACGUCGUGCUCUUCGACGACGUCCUAGACUUGCUAAAGUCGGCCUCCUCUGGAUCAAAGCCGUCGCCCACUGCCCCUCGCUGGACCUCAAUGCCAGCUAGUAAUCUUCGUUGCCUCGUCGGAUCUCGUGCCCCUCACCGGACCUCGCCGCCAGUUGCCGAUCUCCGCCACCCUCACCGAAUCCUGCCCCUGCUGCUGGCUCUCAUCCCGUUCUCUGUUGCCAUCUGCUGUCACCAGGAGCGCUAACUGAAGUUGCCGUCAGGACCUUCUGUCUGUACUGCUACCUGCCUGGUGAUUGCUAAAAAAAUGUCUACAUCAUCAGGCUAUGUUGUCGUUUCGCGUUGUCCGGUGAUUUUUGAUGGCACUAACUACAUCGACUUUGUUGGCUUCAUGCGCAUUCAUAUGUGUGGCAUUUGUCUAUGGGGCGUUCUUUCUAGCGAGGUCUGUUGUCAGCCGUGUCCGGUUCCUCUUAUGGCCCCUACUCUGCCGACGCCACGGUUCUUGUUGCGGAUGCUAGUCAGGCUGCAAAGGAUGCAACUAAGUUUGUUGAUGAGGUUGUCGUUCGUGCUUAUGAUGAGCUAGUUUUGACUUAUGAGGAGGCUCUUGACACGUAUCAUGAGGCUACAUCUACUAAUACUCAGUGGCUUGAUGAUGAUGGUCGUGUUGCAGCUAUUCUCAUUGCUAGUGUUCUGCCUUAGUUUGCCUAAUUUCGUGGGCCUGCCUAUCGUAUUUGAGAUGUGGACCCGUCUUCAUCAGUGCUAUCAAUCCCCUGGUGAUGCCUUAUACCUGUAUGUGGUCCGCCAGGAGCAUGCUCUUCAGCAGGGUGACUCCAUUAUUGAUGAUUUCUAUGCACAGAGUUCUGCUAUUUGCCGUCAGCUUGAUUCUCUCCGCAAUGCUGGUUGUUGUAGUUGUCAGUGUUGCCAGGCUGUGUAGGCUGAUUUGGAGUUCUUAUCUCAUCUGGGUAAGGAGUUUGAGCACCGGUGUGCAUAGUUGUUUGCUUGUGGCCAUAUUUCUCUCAUGGAGGCGCUUUCAGAGAUUCGUGCUAAGGAGACCCGCUUACGUGGUGCUGGUUUACUUGAGGUUCCCUUUGUGCUCGCUGCUCGAGCUCCUGCUAUGCCACAUGCUGCACCGACUCCUUCCCGCUCAAGUGCUUCGUCGCUCUUGCCCACUCCUACUGGCGGCCAGGGCCACUCUCGCCCUCAGUGCGGCUAUUGAAACCAAGAAGGGCAUGUUGAGCCUCAGUGCUUCCAGAAGAAGCGACACAUGCGUAGAGCGCGGACAUCAUCUUCAAGGACUUCUACUUCUACUUCGACAUCUUCAGCUACCACCUUGGUUGAGUAGGAUAUUUUGAGACUUAGGCAUAUGCUUGCCGCUUCAUAUUCUUCUUCGACGGGUACUGCUUCCCACACCGAGCAACCACCCUCUACACAAACAGACACAUCCCCAUGGGUUCUGGAUUCCAGAGCUUCUUUUCAUAUGUCUUCUCAUUCUUCCAAUUUGUCCUCUCUUAGAUUGCUUGAUUUUCAUGUUCAUGUACUCACUGCUGAUGGUAUUCCUCUUUUUGUUGCUAGUCAAGGCAAUCUUACCACUCCUUAUUCUGUUCUUGAUGUUGCUCAUGUUCCUUGACUUACCAUGAAUCUGUUUUCUGCUAGUCAACUUAAUGAUUCUGGUUGUCGCAUCAUCCUUAAAGUUGACAUAAGAUCGUCGCACGCACAAUUUGGUUUCUCUCGUCAUACUUGGCUUUAUUUUAUGACUUCUCGCAGUGGGGUUUUGUCUAUCUAUAAGCGUUUUGCUGCCAUGGUUCACACUCAGUUCCCUUCACCCAUUCGUGUGUUUCUUACCGACUCUAUUGGCGAGUAUAUUUUCAAGAUGUUGCAUGGUGUUCUUGUUGAGCAGGGGACUCUUUCUCAGUUCUCUUGUCCUGGUGCUCAUGCUCAGAAUGGCGUGGUUGAGCGAUAGCAUCGUCACCUUAAGACGACUCGUGCAUUGAUGAUCGUCGCCUCUCUUCUGCCUCAUUUUUGGGUUGAUGUUGUCUUCAGCUCCACCUAUCUAUCAAUCUUCAGCCAUCAGCUGCUCUACAGGGUGGUGUUCCUUUUGAGCAUCUUUUUUAUCGUUCUCCUGAUUAUUCGACGCUUCGUUUGUUUGGUUGUGUUUGCUAUGUUCUUCUUGCACCUCAUGAAUACAUCAAACUGACCGCUCAGUCCGUUGAGUGUGUCUUCUUAGGCUAUAGUGAUGAGCAUAAGGGCUAUUGUUUGUGUGAUCAUGUCGGUCUUCGGUUGCAUAUUUCUCGGGAUGUGACUUUUGAUGAGUCUCAUCCGUUCUACCCGCGUCCAUCUUCCUCGACCUUUUCAGUGGAGGAUAUCUCUUUCUUCACUUUUCCUGACACACCUAUCACUCCCGUCAAACCCCUGUCUUUCCGUCACAACACCUACUCUGUUAUUAUCUGACAGUACAAGUGUAUUAGCAUUUUGCGCGAUACUGUGAAGCAUGAGCUCACCAAGCAUAUUGGUGUUGAUGCUUUCUAUGUGCACACUGGUGUGCAAGAUCAGGUUAUUGCACUUCGGUAUGUGCCUUCCGAGUUACAGUUGGUGGAUUUCCCGACGAAGGCACAGACUAGAGCGCGGCAUGGCUUCUAUCUCUCCAAACUCAGUGUUGUUAAUCCACCAUGAGUUUGAAGGGGGGGUUAAGAGUACUAUUUAUAUAGCCAUAGACCAGUAUAUAGCCAUGUAGUCUUUUAUAUUUACCCCAUUGUGUAUGUAUACAUGUACAUGUGUAGGAUAUGCAGAAACCCCUUAUACAAUGGGGUAAAUACAAAAGGCUACAUGUCUAUAUACUAGCCUAUGGCCUUCGGGGAAUACAUGUUGCAUAUUUCCUAACAUAAACAACAUAGAGAAGUACAAGGUGGCAAAGAAGGCCGCAAAGCAAGCUAUGAGUGAAGCAAGGGGUCAGGCGCAUGAGGACCUCUACCCACGGUUAGACACGAAGGAAGGCGAAAUGUACAUCUAUAAGAUGGCCAAGAUUAGAGAGAGGAAGACACGGGAUGUCGACCAAGUCAAAUGCAUCAAGGACGGAGCAGAGCAACUCUUAGUGAAGAACGAGGAGAUUAAGCAUAGAUGGCGGGAGUACUUCAACAAGUUGUUCAAUGGGGAGAAUGAGAGCUCUACCAUUGAACUGGACGACUCCUUUGAUGAUACUAGCAGACAUUUUAUGCGGCGAAUCUAGGAGUGUAAGGUCAAAGAGGUUUAAAAAGGAUGAAAGGAGGCAAGGCGAUGGGCCCUAAUUGUACCCCAUUGAGUUGUGGAGAGGCCUCGAAGACAUAGCGAUAGUAUGGCUAACUAAACUUUUUAACCUCAUUUUUCGGGCAAACAAGAUGCCAGAAGAAUGGAGAUGGAGUAUAUUAGUACCAAUCUUCAAGAACAAGGGGGAUGUUCAGAGUUGUACUCCCUCCAUUCCUAAAUAUAUGUCUUCUUAGGGAUUUCAUAUUGGACUACAUACAUAUGUAUAUAGUCCUACUUUAGAGUGUAGAUUCACUUAUUUUGGUUCGUCUAUAGUCCAUAGUGAAAUCUCUAAAAAGACUUAUAUUUGGGAAUGGAGGGAGUACUGACUACCGUGGAAUUAAGUUGAUGAGCCAUACAAUGAAGCUAUGGGAGAGAGAGUCAUUGAGCAUCAUUGAGCAUCGCUCAAGAAGAAUGACAAAUGUGACCAAAAAUCAGUUUGGUUUCAUGCCUGGGAGGUCGACCAUGGAAGCCAUUUUCUUGGUAUGACAACUUAUGGAGAGAUACAGGGAGCAAAAGGACAUGCAUAUGGUGUUCAUUGACUUAGAGAAGGCCUACGAUAGGAUACUGUGGAAUGUCAUGGGGUGGGUCUUGGAGAAACAUAAAGUCCCAGCAAAUACAUUACCCUCAUCAAGGACAUGUACGAUAAUAAUGUUGACAAGUGUUCAACCAAGUGAUGGCGACACUAAUGACUUUCCCGUUAAAAUAGGACUACAUCAGGGGUCAGGUUUGAGCCCUUAUCUUUUAUGCUUUGGUAAUGGAUGAGGUCAAAAGGGAUAUACAAGGAGAUAUCCCAUGGUUUAUGCUCUUUUCGGAUGAUGUGGUGUUAGUCGAUGAUAGUCGGACGGGGUUAAUAUGAAGUUAGAGCUAUGGAGACAAACCAUGGAAUCAGAAGGUUUUAGACUUAGUGCAACUGAAUACAUGAGGUGCAGUUUCAGUACUACUAGGCACCAGGAGGAGGUUAGCCUUGAUGGGCAGGUGGUACCUCAGAAGGACAUCUUUAAAUAUUUAGGGUCAAUGUUGCAUAAGGAUGGGGAUAUCGAUGAAGAUGUGAGCCAUCGAAUCAAAAUCGGAUGGACAAAGUGGCGCUAUGUUUCUAGCGUUCUCUUUGACAAGAGUGCCACAAAAGUUAAAAGGCAGAUUCUAUAGGACGGCGAUUUCGCUAGCAAUGUUGUAUGGCGCCGAGUGUUGGCCAGCUACAUGACAACAUGUUCAACAGUUAGGUGUGACGAGAUGCACAUGUUGAGAUGGAUGUGUGACCACACAAGGACUGGAUCCAGAAUAAUGAUAUACAAGAUAGAGUUGGGGUAGCGCUGAUUGAAGAGAAGCUUGUCCAACAUCAUCUGAUAUGGUUUGGGCAUAUUCAACACAGGCCUCUAAAAUCUCUAGUGCAUAGCAGAUGACUAAAGUGUGCUGAUAAUGUCAAGAGAGGCCGGAGUUGACCAAACUUGACAUGGAAGGAGUCUGUAAAGAGAGAUCUUCAUGAUUGGAGUAUCAUCGGAACUAGCUAUGGACACGGGUGCGUGGAAGCUUGCUAUCCAUGUGCCAGAACCAUGAGUUAGUUGCGAGAUCUUAUGGGUUUCAGCUCAAGCCUAUCCUAACUUGUUUGGGACUAAAGCCUUUGUUGUUGGUGGUGGUGAUACAUAUAUGUAAUGAGACCGUGACAUUUUGCAAGUCUCAGAUGCGGGUAAUCUGAAGCGAGUCUCGGAUACGCUUCAUUCAGAAGCUUUUGCUAUGCUUUAUGCCAUAAACACAAACAUCCAAAUGGGCUGUAAUUGAGCAACGAUGGAAACUGACUGUGCAACUGAAGAAUGUGGUAUGCACUGAAGAAUAUGAUAUGUCAACUCUGGGAACUAUUUUCAAAGACAUCAAAUUCCAGCUGCGUGAUGUUUCUAUUGUAUCAUAUCCCAGAUCUUGCAAUAUAGUUGCACACUAUUUAGCAGCGUAUGGUUCUAGGAAGCUGACACAUGUGAGACUUGACUUGGCCUGUUGGCCAGUUCCCAGAUUUUGUAAAUGAUCUUGUAGCUGGAGAUUUGUCCAGGUGUGACAUAUAAUGGAAUGCAAUCAUGUCCCUUUAACAAAAACAUAGGCCCUUGUAAAUGUAGUCUUCUGAUUAUCUUCUGCUUCUGCUUUGGGGCAUCAUGUAUUCAGUAAGUUUUGGCAUCCUGGUUGAUGUGGUGCUUUAAUUAGGUAGCUUGUCUUUACUAUAGUAAAUAGGGGCCAUGGGAACUUUUGGAACCUGGGUGUAUAUACACCCUAGAUGUAAAAAAAUAAGCAAUUCAACAAAAAGUCAAUAAAUUCUAAAACUAUUUUCGAAAUAAACUUGACCUUCCAUUGUACUUGUGAGAAAAAAAUCCACAAAAAGAAAAUUACACUUUGACUUCUUUUCAAAAAAGACAAUUUUUCGGUAAAAAUAGUGUGAAUAGUGACCUAUAAUAGCAAAUAAAUUUUGUCUUUUUUGCCCACAAGUCAAUGUUGGCUUUUUUCGUGAAAAUUUAUAUACUAGUGCAAAAUAAAGUCAAGUUUAAUUAAAAAUACUUCAGAACUAUUUUGACUUUUUAUUUAAUUGUUAAAAAACAUUCCCCAUAUAGGGUGCAUAUACAACAAGGAACCAAAGUGCAUUUCCCCCCAUUUUUUGCAAGUACAUCCAUUUUAGAGUGGUUCAGAUAUGUUAUUUUAGGCAACAAUGUAUAGUCUACAUUGUUGUUUGAUGCUAAUAUGUGCUAAGAUUUCUCAAAAUUAUACAGAGUGUGUUGACAUGAGGUGAAUAGCUAUAAUAAUUUUACUUUCCUCUUUUAUGCUAUGUUGAAUGGACACACAAUGAAGAGCAGGUCUCCGGUAGGUUUAUCCCUAAACGCUAGUGAUAAAUAUAAUGCAAAGCACAUAAUGAGAAUGAAUAACAUUGAAUUUACAUUGUUAUCAACAAAUAGGUCAUAAGCAGUUGUGGACCAUAACUCUUUUCCUAUAAUAAGCAAUCUAAACUAAUCCAACAAUUUCAGGAAAAAAUCAUGAAUUUAUAUUAGGAAGAACUACCACAAAAUUCAAAAUUUUAAGAUAAAAUAGAAAUGAAAGAUGCUUGCAUGUUACUAAUAAAAUGGCAUUUAUAAAAUAGUUAUAAUGUAUCCUUGGUGUAUAAAUCAAUGUUAAUGAUUGUGAGAAGAUAACAUCGCGGAAAGAGAAGAACUUGUGCAUCUGUUUUCGUAAUUCAUUCAAGCAUGUACUCCCUCCGGUUCCAUAACAGUUGUCAUCUUAGAACAUCUACAUGGUCCACAAACUAAACCUUCAACCAACAGCCAUAUUUAUCCAAUAAAAAGAUCUAAAAGUUAAGACUUUCCUUAUAUCAAACAGUAAAAUUACAACUUAUAGAGAACUAGAGGGAGUAUGCAUGUAUAUUUACAUCUUAUUUUUCCACGUGCUUAGUACUAGGUAAAUUUAUUAAGGAUAAGGACAAUUAUUCUUAAAACCAUGCAACUCACAAACUUUUCAGUCACAAGAAUGGUGUAUCACCGCAUCAUGAUUUAUUUAAUGUCACAGAUGAUAAACCUCGCUUAAACAUGGUAUCAAGCUAAAUUAUUGUUGUCAUAAGUUCAAGUUUGAAGACUUAAGAGCAAAUUGCACUUUAAAUAAUACUUCAAAUUAAAUAGGAGAUGAGGUAAUAGGCUGUUGAGAGGACAAAUGGUGUAAAAUACCUUACGCAGCUCCAAAAGAGCAUGCCCCUUGAGCUCCGGAUCUAGCAAAUCAAGAAGAAGACGCUCCAAAAGAAUUGGGUCAUCCGAAGCAGGAACCUCGCUACUCGGCAUUGAAUUCAGUAAGGGAGUGUGAAGCUGUAUGACAAACAAAAAACAAAGUAAAAUAAUCAUGAACAUUUCUAUAAGAGUGAAUGCAAUAGCGAAUGAAUUUAAAUAGUCGCAUCAAGCAAAUUUUCAAUGAUCAAAAAGCGGUAAGCGUAAGCGAAGCGGAAGGCCACAACUUACAGCAAUGGGUGCUUAAGUGCAGCUUAACCGUGAUUAAACAUUUUAGAACAAAAGAGGAGUAGAGGAAGAACUGGAGAACAAAAGGGGGGAGAGGAGAGAAGGAAUCAAUCACUCACUUGAACUGACUGAAAUAUGCGUCGAGGAGGACCCGGGAGCCUUGCGGCCAGGAGUCGCCACUGGAAUCCGAGAGGAGCAGCCGCCGCCGCCGCAACACCCUCUCCUUUCUAAGUUUCCGUCCCCUCCUAACCCUAGCGAAACAGGCCAAUUCUCGCCCGGCCCUUUAUACUACUCCUUUCCCCUCCCACCCACUCGUUUUCACCUCCUGCCCAACCAAUCCCAGCGCUUUCCCCUCGCUUAAGCACGCGGCGCACGCUCAGCCAACGCUUAGUGCUAAAUUGGCCGCUCAAGUGCAUUUAAUUCCGCUCAGCACUAAAAAAUGCGAUUAUGGCCGAAGAAAGGCUUUAGGCCAUCACUCAGCGCUUAAAUGCGAUUAAGCGGCGCAAUAACCUUUCUUGACCAUUGCAAAUUUCACAUGUUUCUUUACUAGUAUACUAAACAAUUAACGGCGAUAUCCACUCAACCUAAUCUGUCGUCAAAUAAAUGUUCAUUAUUUUAUUGUUUUUCCCUUGAUGAGUUAUAUACGCAUUAUUUUAGCUACUCAUAACUCCAAAUUAUUGGUUGCCACAUUUGGCAGUGAACCAUACCGAGGAUAUGUACGAGGCUUGCAUGCAUCUUAUGUGUCAUUCUUAUCCCAUUACUACUUACCAAUAGCCAUACAUGUGGUUCAUUCCUAGUUGUCCAUAAUAACAUCAUAACUUAGUAUUGUGCAAAUAGUAGCUUACUGGGUACCCCGUCGAUAAUGGUCAUCUUCAUAUCCACAUGUUUAGCACGAUAUUAUUGCCAUCUAGAGAAUGCUAGUAACUCUACAUGAUUAAGCAUAGGGUUUCUUUAGUAUAUUGUGGCGCUAAAUCUCAAUUGCUCCUAAUUGAGGCCAAACGCAUGUAUUAUUCUUAUCUUGCAGUAUGCAAAUGACAACACAUGUCAUCCUUUGUGAGUCAUUUGUUUCUUGUUCAUAAUAACCUCAAAAAAUGGAAUCAUACUAUUUCGAAGUAAUAAUAACAUUACCUUGAUGAUAAAUAAUCAUUUUUGUACUAGCAUGUACAACACGUUAUUGCGAUCUAGAGAAUGCCAACCCAUUUCAACUUGGCCUGCCUUGGGGUGUUUCAGAUGGGAUUUCUAAGUAUAUCGUGACAACAACAAUUUACCUUGGAGGGACAACAAAGAACUAUGUCUCUUGAAAACCACGCUUCAUCCAAAAACAAAGAGUUGCCCUUGUUCCUCACUACUUCUGGAAUCAUGUGUACGUUGAAAGCACUGCCUGAACUGGAGUAAAUAACUCUAAUAAACU